rnacentral:lncRNA from 1 species
CGAGAGAGAAGACGGCCACGGCCGUUAGGGUGAACGGUAACGGAAACGUGAAGGAGGUGCAUUUUAGAGGCGUGAGGAAGAGGCCGUGGGGAAGGUACGCCGCCGAGAUCAGAGAUCCCGGCAAGAAGAGCCGGGUCUGGCUCGGAACCUUCGACACGGCGGAGGAAGCCGCCCUGGCCUACGACAACGCCGCCAGAGAUUUCCGCGGUGCCAAGGCCAAGACAAACUUCCCUCUCCUUUCGGAAAAUGUUAGCCUGAGUAUUACAAAAAAUAAUAAUAUUAAUAAUAUAAAUAUUAAUAAUAAUAUAAAUAAUAAUAAUAAAAUUAGUAGCGGAAGCAACAAUCAAAGCCCGAGCCAGAGCAGCACGGUGGAGUCCUCCAGCCGUGAGCCGCCGGCUCUGAUGGUCGAUUCCUCGCCGUUUGAUCUAAAUCUCGCUCACGGUGUUAGCUCCGGCGGAUUCGGCUCCGCGCCGAUGAGGUUCCCCUUCCAGCACCACCAGGUUCCGGGAAUCGGACCUUUUAUCGGAGUCCCGGCUUCCUCCGCGGCAGCCGCGAAUCACAUGCUCUAUUUCGACUCGGUGUUCAGAGCCGGCAUGUUGAAGACCACCAAAUUCAACCAACGGCUGAGAUUCGACCAGGCCAACUUCCACCAGCAUGAUAUCCAAGCCGCCGGUGGUGGUGGUGGUUUCGCCGGUGGUGCCCAGAGCGACUCCGACUCGUCCUCGGUCGUCGAUCUGAACCAGAACGAUCUGCCUCGCGGCGGCGGCGGAGGGUUCGAUCUCAACUUCCCUCCUCCACCGGAACUUGCCUGAUUUUGUUUUUGGAGAAGAGCGCGGCGGCCGGCUGAGUUAAUAGGAAAUCUUCAAUUUCAGUUUUUUUUUUUUUUUUCUCCUUUUCUAAUUUUAGUUUUAUAAUUUUCGAAUUUCUAAGAAAGAAAAAGAAAAAACAAAAAAUACGCUGUGAGAGCAACCAAUUAAAGAAGCUCCAUGUGAAUACGUAGCUGAUCGGAUCAUCAUCCCUUUUUUUUUUGUUUGCAGCAGCGAAACUCCACCGUGUUUCAAUCUGUUGUUCGGAAUUAGACACCCCUUUUUUUCAAUGUCAAUUUUUCAGUUGUAAUCUCUCGUGUCAGCAGCAAUAAUUAUUUUCCCCUCAAUCUAACCAAGCUGAUCAUUUCUUUUUAUUUAGUUUAAUUAUUUAAAUUGUUUCCGUUGUCCUUUGACCACACGAUAUUAUGAUCCAGCGAUGUAACGCUCUUGAUCGUUUUUUCGAUAUUAGAUGUAACGCUUUCGAUCUUUUCUCCAUAAAUCUUGUAUUUUGGUUUUCGGAUCAAUCUUGUCCCUUUUUCCCCGAUCGGAAGGUUUGUUACUUUUAUCAUGUGUACUUUUAAGAUCUGUGAAGAUUUUUGUUUUGAACUUUUUGCUGUAAAAUUAAAACAUCUCUAAUUGAAUGUUUUUUUUCUUUCAAAGAGUUGUCAUUUGCCCCUCUAUAAUUGCAUAUGCCGUAUAUGACUAGCAUUUCCAUGGUUGAUUUUUUUCUUUCUGCUACCGUAACCCAUCCAUGGACUUGGGAUCUAAGAGAUCAUUACAUAAACUUGAAUUUGCUAUGAGAGUGUUGUGCAAGCUCCAAUUUAGUGCUUUUUAAAUCGAGCUUUUUCAUGUACUUUUUAAGAAACUUUGAAGUAACAUAGGGUUGUGUGUUUUGCUAUCAUGUUAAUAAACAAAUAGACAAAUUAGAGCUAUUUUGAAUAAAAAAGGUGCAAGACAUGUCACCUGCUAGUUCGUGGUUAAGGUUGAACAAUCUUUAUUUGCACCAAGAAUCAAGUUUUAUGUCUUUACAGUACUAAUAAAAAAUCCUUGCAUUGGUGUUUUGGAGCACAUGCAGACGGAGAGAAAAACAAACACAAAUUUAAUUAUAUAAAAAGUAUUAAAUUUAAUCCAAAGAAAAAACAAACAACCAAAAUAUCCAUAAAUCGAGUCAUACCUUAGUUUGAGGAUUAAAAACUUCAAAAUCACCAUCUAUCAAUAGAAAUCCUUGUUUUUCUCUAUCAGAGUUAUUAGGGUUUUUAGUCAAAAUGAACGUAGGAUAAACAAAGAGUGAUGCUGGGGUUUAAUUAUAUGUGGGUCUAUUGAUAAAAUUUGAUUUUUAUUAUUAAUUUCAUUUUGUAUUGUUUAGGCCCAAAUACUGGUUUGAGCUAAGUUUAGAAUUGUUCUCGGCCCAGACGCGUUGCUUAGGGGCCGCCGUGUCCUAUCAGGAUGAGGUAAUUGAAUCCUGACGCAAUAAGAAGUUUCGACAGGAUGAGGAUGCUGAAACUUAGGAAUGAAUGCGGCCUGAUAAGGGGUUGAGUUCAAAGUCCUAAUAGGAGUAUGACUGACCGAGAUAGAUUGGAUCGGGGUAAGAGAGUCUUGUUCCGAGUAUAGUUUUGAUUCGAUCAGAAGCAGGUUUGGUACUUAUAAAUAGAGGGAGGAGUGCAUCAUUCAAGGACUUAUCCAAUUCAACACAAAUUGCCAUGCGCAACUCUCUUAACAAACUUGAGAUUUUUUUUUUUUCCGCAAACACAUCUUUAGUUUGGACAAACAGCACUAUGAAGGUAACUGGUGAUACCUUCAGUUUGGAUAAACAACAUUAUCGCCGUAGAACCAGCCGACCGCAGAACAACUUCAGUUUGGAUAAACAGCACUGCAUCGAGGUCGACUGGUUAUCUAUCCAAGUCUAGGUCAGGAAAGACUUUCGGGUUUUUAUUGGCAGAGGUCAUCUCAUUAGCCUUUCCGGGGAGGUGAGGUGUUACAGUCUAUUAGGGCUCGGCACAUUAAACGCCGAGUUGUUUUAUGAUUGGAUACUCACAAGUAAGCUUUAGAGUUCGGCAUUCUGACGGCCGAACCACAUUUACCAUCAAGACAUAUAUAUGUUUUGAGUAUCUGUGCCCCUAUACUCUUGUGUCGAUUCGGCGUGCUUAUACCCUUACAAAAUAUAUCACUGUGAACGAAUUUUGGCGCCGACAUUUUGUGAACUUUACAAAAUUAACAGCUGUCUUCAGGCUCUAGACCCAAAAGGAUGUGUUCCUUCCUUGACUGCAGUCGUAAGAUCGAGAAGUCAGCUGCGUGCUAAACGCAACAUCAACACAUUUUUACUCUUGCCGAGUUCGGCCAACUAGUUGGUACGCCCCGUAUCAAACGAAUGACGUAGUUAACUCACUAGUUAUUCGGCCUGAGCGUCACGUAGGUUUGAUAGUUUUUAGGAUCAAAUGUAUUUAAUAGUAAUUACGUAAUAAGAUAAAAUAAACAAUUAACAUAUAAAAUUUAAAUUAGACGUAGAAAUAAGUUAGAUUGGUUUAAAUAAAAUUUCAUUUCAUACAAGUAGCACGAAAAUUUGUUGAUUCGCGUAGUUAACGACAGCUUUGCCACAAUGGGUGUCCUAACUGGCGGCCGCGUGGCGCGUCUUUUUCCCAAAGCGUCGGCGGCCCUUACGGCACUCAACGAGUGAAAACCGAGUUGUUUAACUCUCUAUAAUUACGCUUUUGUCCCCUUUCCUUCUGAAUUUUGGAAAUUGGAUUAAUAGAAAAAAAUGAUCAGGCGGAAGCGUUGGUUAGAGGCGGGCGCGUAAUUCUAGCGCGGUUUGGGAGUUUAGACCGAAGUUACACGAGACCGUAAGCUUCAGAUUCGGCGGAUUGCACGUGAAUAGGCGUCGAUCUCACGAUCUCUCUCUUUUCCCUUUCCAGCUGCAAAGUGGGUGAUUAGGGUGUUGUAGUUAAAAAACGUUUUUGUGCAGCUUCUACGCGUCUUCUUUAGACAGUUUUUGGUCUCCUUGCAUCAAGGCUUCGACGGAGCGAUCUUCGAAAAUGGUCUUCAAGUUCAGGUCGAAUUUAUACCCGGAGAGAGCAAUAUCCACUCAAAGGCUGGUCAGAGAAGUGCCAAGUAUGGAUGUGAUAUCCAACAUCGUUAGACCAAGAGGGCCGAGGGGAAGAAUCAUCGUGUUGGUGGCUGAGCACCAAAAGCUUAGAGCAGCCAUCACAAGUUCUCAGUCUAAAUUCAUCUCGAUGGUCGAGAGUUUGAUGGCAUAAAAAAUGCCAAGAGACUAUUCGUCGCCAAAGUGUGGCUCCAUCCGAGCAACCAAAGCAGCCCAGGCCGGAGUAAUUGAGGGCCAAACACCUUGGGGUUUGGCCGAUUCCCAUUUCAACCAAUCAUACCUUUAGAACAAGGGUUUCAGGCAGUGUGCUUUCAACAUUUCGAUGAUGGUUUCUGGGACAUCAUCUUGAAAAGUGGGCCGAGAGUUUGAUGGAGAACAUUUAGUUCAUCCUCGAAUCGAAUGGUCUUGAUGGUGUUUCCAUUAAUGAUGUUUUGGCACUUGUUGCAUUCCUCGGUGAACUUAGUAAUAAAUGUAUUGGCAGCCAUUGAAGAUGAAGGUUUUUUGGGAAUUAAGAGUAUGGUUUCUUUUAUGAGUUUAAAAGCAACUAGCACGAGAUUCGAGAAUUUUGAAAGCAUAAAAUUUGAAUGAAGGAGAGAUGAGCAUUUAUAGGCGUAUUGGGAGGAAGAUCAAUAGUUUAGGGGGAUAAAAUUGACUAGAGGAUUUGAUAAUCAUGACGGAUAUUCAAAGAAUCUAGGCGAAGGGACCGAAAAACUCAUGGAUCAAGGAUGCACAUUUGCGUGUGACGGUGAAUAUAAAGGGGAAAAGACGUUUUAGUGUUCGCAUGUUUUGAAAAGACCGAAAUACUCAUGGGUUGAGACUGCAUGAUGACGCGUGAAGACGAGUUUUAAAACUGAGGGGACAUUUCGAUGUCAAAUAUCAUCAUUGAAGGAUAAACAUACCAAAAAGAUGACACAUGGCAAGGAGUUUGAUAGGGGUAAGAUAGUGCAAUCGUGCCUCAUAAAUGCAUUUGAGUGGUUGAGAUAUUCGAGGUUUCUCAAUGCUUUUUAGUAAGAUGCUAAGGGACGAUUUCACUUCUUCAAGGUCAGAGCUCAGCCAAGAAUUACAGGUUAAAGGCCUCAAAAAUGAGAGGGCAAUGUUUGAGCCCAAAAUAAUAUUAUUAGGCUGAGCCUAGGUUUGUUUUCGGCCCAAUACUCUUCCAGAAGUAUUAUGGGUCGUCCUGCCGCCAUAGGCCGCCCAAUUAGGUUGGCCGAGUCCUAUUGUGAGAAGGAUUGAUUUGGAUAAGCAAAAGGGCGAAUCCUGAUACAACAAGGGGUCUCAAAACUGAAGGAACUGAGAAUUAGGGACUGAAUCUGGUUCAUUAUAAAGCCUAGUUCAGGAACCUAUUCGAACUAGGAUUGGUUGAAUCAUAAUCAUAUUGGGAUAAGGAGUUCUAGUCUGAGUAUAUCUCUGGUUUGGCCAGGAUUAGGUUCACUACUAUAAAUAAAGGAGGAAGUGCAUCAUUCAAAGCCCUCUCAAAUUCAACACACAAAUUGCCCUGCGCAAACCUCUCAAACACCUUGAGAUUUUUAUUUUCUUUUUCCGCCAACACAUCUUCAGUUUGGAUAAAUAACACUGUGAGGGCAACUGGUGGCAUCUUUAGUUUGGAUAAACAACAUUGUUACCAUAAAAUCAGUCGACCGCGAAGUAUCUUCAGUUUGGAUAAACAGCAUUGCAUCGAGGCCGACUGGUUAUCUGUCCAAGUCUCGAUCAAGAAGGAUUCUCGGGUCCUUAUUGGGAGAGGUCAUCUCGCUAGCCUUCUCGAUGAAGUGAGGUGUUACAGAUUACUAGGCUUGGCACAUUGAACGCCAAGUUGUUUUAUGAUUGGAUAUAAACAAGUAAGUUUUAGAGUUCGGCAUUCUGACAGCCGAACCACAUUCACCAUCAAGACAUACAUCUCUUUUGAGUACUUGUGUCCGUAUAGUUUGGUGCCAGUUCAGCGUGCUUAUACUCUUACGAAUAUAAUCACCGUGACCGAACCCGGCGCCGACAAUCCGUGAACUUCGCAAGACUAGCAGCCUUGUCUUCAAGCUCUAGAACCAGAAGGUCGUGACGUGUUCCUUCCUCAAUCGCAGUUGCAAGAUCGAGAAGUCAGUAGCACGCUCAACGUAACAUCAACACAUUUUACUCCUUGAUCGAGCUCGGCCGAUGAGGUGGCACACCCCGCACACAACUGAAGGACAUAGUUAGCUUAUUAAUUACUCGACCUGCGCGCCACAUAGCCUUGGUAAUUUUUAGGAUCAACAAGCACAUAUAAUGUAAUCCAACAUGUAGAUUGGAGUAGAUAGCUUUGGCCCUAGACGUGGUUUGGUGGAUGGCCUUGAGUGAUUCUUUUUUAUAAUUUUAAGGCCUCCCAUAAACUUGUCAUUGUGCAUAUGGGAAGUAGUUUGGAGAUGUCUAAUACUAGUCUAAUGGUUUGUCACUCGAGCUACGAGUGCUUUAAACUAGGGGUGGGUUCGGUUCCGAUCGGUUCGGUUUUUGCCAAAACCGAAAACCAAACCGAAGUUACUGUUCGGUUCGAUUCUGUUCCGUUUUGUUUCGAUUUUUUUCAGUUUGGUUCUAGUUUUUCACUGAUUUUUUUUUUUUAAUUCUAAAAUUGAUCUGUGUUCAUUUGGAAGAACACCAGCAACAACCUACUAUUGUCCUCAUUCCCUUGUUUUUGCUACGAAAAAAAUUAUAGAAAAAAAAUACAAAGAUACAAAUCAAUAAUUUUUACCUUCAAAGCCAAAGCUGCAAGUUCACAACAAACCAACAAAAAAAUAUUGAAAGCUAAGACCAAAACGAAAAAAAAUUAAUUAAAAAACUCCAUGCGAAGAUUUCUUAACUUGUACACAGAAUAAAAAAAAAGCCAAGUACAAAAAAAUUAAUAAAUAAAAAUCGAAUUUCAACCCAUCACAAAAUUAAUUCAUAAAAAAACUCACACCAAUUCACAAACCCAUCACAAAAUUCAUUCAGAAACUUACAAAGAUACAAAUCUCAAAUCACUUACCUCGGCAAGUGGAACUGUUCUAGCUGCAAAGUCUCCACCAUGGUUAAUUUUUCCAAGAAAUUGGCCAGUGAGUUCUACUGAUUUGACUCGAAAAUUGAGGGAGGUGGGAAUUGGAGGUUGGGGAAGUGGGUAAGCUUGAUUUCUAAGGUGAGAUUUUUGGGUUUUGGUUGUGUUUGGUUGGAGGGAGGGGGAGAGAGAGAGAGAGAGGGAAAGAGAGAAGAGGACCUUGAAAGAAUUGGGAAGUGGGAGCAAAGAGGCUACUGGCUAGGGUUAAAAGAAAAGUUGGGAAUUGGGAUGAAAGAUGGGAAUUGAUAACCAAUUAAACAAUUAUGAUCCGGAUUUUAUAAAUAUGUUAAUCAUAACAGUAUUACCAAGAAUUAACUCGCUGUCAAGUUGGUUUAAGGGAAAGAUACUUAACCAAGAGGGAAUGCAUUCGAACCCCCAUGGUUGUAUUUUUUUUUUAUGCUUUUUAUAAUUAAAAUAUAUUUCUGUUUGAUUUGACAGUUUCAGUUCGAUUUUUUUUCGAUUCUGUUUUUUUCGACCUCGGUCCGGCUUUCAGUCCGAUCACCCCUACUUUAAACCAUCUCCGAUUGGUUGAGCCUAGUUUGAGCUUUUAGUUGAACGGUCAAAAGUUUAUUCGGGCGAGCCCAAUAUUUUCAAUUGGGCAAAAUUCCAAGGCAAACUUCUCUUGUAAAGCCCAGUUGUUGCGGCCCAAACCAAUCUUAAAAGUACAUACAAAAAGUCAAUCAUUAAAAAUAUGGAGUUCUAAUGAAAAGGGUUUCUCAAAACUUUUAAUUAACCAAAAACCAUCUACAAACUUAAUUUAAUAAAAAGGGCUUAAACUUUAAUAAAAAGGAUUCAAAUUUUAAUGAAAAAGGACAAAAAUUUUACAUAAUAACAAAUAAAAAAUAAAAAAACCAACACAUACUGGCGCGCGGGACCACACGUCACAUCACACACAUUCACAUACUCUUUCUCACACAACCGUUCAACCUCCUCUCUCUCCGUCUUUUACAUCACCCACACAAACUCACUACCCCCAUCAUCCUUAACCUCCUUCUCUCUCUCUCUUCUUUCACAUAUUCUAAUAAUUUUCUCUCUCAAAUCAGCCUUCCACGUGAACUUUUCUCCUCUCAUUUCACCACUCCCCACUCUUCUUCUACUCUCACUCAAUAAAUAAUAUACUUUUUUAUUUUUUAUUUAUCGUUUGUUUAUUUGAUCAUUGUUUCGUAAUUUUUUUUAAAACAAAUUAAGUAAUAAUAUUACAAGAUUAAAAAUAAAAUAAAAUUGUAAUUUUUUUUAGAACAAAUUAAGUAAUAAUACUACAAGAUCAAAAAUAAAGAAAAUUCGUAAUUUUUCAGUUUUACAAACACUAGUACUAUUACUAUUUCUUAAUUGAACAUUGACUACUUAAAAUGAACACUAUUUGUUAAAUUAAACACUGACUAUAUCUUAAAUCGAACAUUAGUACUAUCACUAUUUCUUAAACUAAACACAAGUACUAUCAUUAUUUCGUAAACUAAACACUGACUAUUUAUCAAACGAACACUAGUACUAUCACUAUUUCGUAAACUAAACACUGACUAUUUCUUCGUAAACUAAACACUGACUAUUUCCUAAACGGAACACUAGUAUUAUCAUUGUUUCGUAAACUAAAUACCGACUAUUUCUUAAACGGAACACUAGUACUAUCACUAUUUCGUAAACUAAACACUGUACUAACAUUGUUUCGUAAACUAAACACUGACUAUUUCUUAAACAGAACACUAGUACUAUCGCUAUUUCGUAAACUUAACACUAACUAUUUAUCAAACGAACACUAGUACUAUCACUAUUUCGUAAACUAAACACUGACUAUUUCUUAAACGGCACACUAGUACUGUCACUAUUUCGUAAACUAAACAUUGUACUAACACUGUUUCGUAAACUAAACAUUGACUAUUUCUUAAACAGAACACUAGUACUAUCACUGUUUCGUAAACUAAACACUGCCUAUUUAUCAAACGAACACUAGUACUAUCACUCUUUCGUAAACUAAAUACUGACUAUUUAUCAAACGGAACACUACUACUGUCACUGUUUUGCAAACUAAACACUGAUUAUUUCUUAAACGAAACACUAGUAUUAUCACUAUUUCGUAACUAGUACUAUCACAUUCAUGUUUGUUAUUUGACAUUUCUCUCAAUCAAUUUAUUUGACUUUCCUUUAAUUUUUUUUUCCACACAAAUUGAGUCAUCUCUUCCCCUCCUUUUUCCUGUUCACCUUCUUCAACCUUCUCUCUCCCUUUACACAUACAAAAAUACCCACAUCAGUUUUGGUCGCCCACAACCCAGACCAAAUUGAACCUAGCCCACCCCUUGUAAACCCACCAAGAUGCGAGUUUGAGAGUCACAAGAACAACUUUAGCAGAAUUUGUUAGAGUUUUAGAUGCUGACAUUGGCAUUAAACUACUCGAGAAGAAGAUGGCACAAGCAUCUAUGUCUACCAAAAUUAAUGAAGCAAGUCGCUUCUUUGAACUAGAUUCCACUCUGACCUUUCUACCUCUCUCAAUCUCUCUCUAUGUACAUUGACCAAAACUAUUAUUUUCCCUAUGUGAACACGAAAUUUUCCUGAAAACGAAAGAAACAAGAACAACGUGCACAAAGUAAUAUUUGUAUUUGAUGAUUUUGGGUUACAAUCUCUCUCAAAUUUGAUCCUUUGAUUCGAUCUCCGUAAGGUGUUGAUUUGCGGAUGCGCAAUUGAUCCAAAGGGAUGUUGAGCUUGAUCUAAGGAUAAACGUUCUUUAAGGGGCGUGGGCUUGAUCUUGAAGGUGGAUUUGAACGGAUCUUCAAGGAGCCGUUGGGGUUUGAUCUUGAGGAUGAGCAUUUCUUCAAGGGCCGUUGAGGCUUGAUCUUGAGGAUGAGCGUUUCUUUAAGGGCCGUUGAGGCUUGAUCUUGAGGAUGAACGUUUCUUCAAGGGCCGUUAAGGCUUGAUCUUGAAUAACGGUGAUGAACGAAUCUUCAAGGGGCUUUUGGGCUUGAUCUUGAAGAACGGUGAUGAACGGAUAUUCAAGGGACUUUUGGGUUUGAUCUUGAAGAACAGUUGGAUGUGUGGAUUUGUCGACGUUGUUGAUCGAAAGGGCCGUCGGGGCUUGAUCUUGGAAGAACGAUGAACGAAGAACGAAGAAGGCUUUCUUGAUUCUUCGGGAACCUGGAUGCUUGAGAGCUUCGGAGUUUCAGAGCUUCAGAGCUUCAAGGUGUAAUCUGAAAAUUCCUCCCUAAAAUGAAUGAAAUGGCUUCUAUUUAUAGAAUUUUCCAAGGCCUAAUUUUGAAUAUAAUAUGUAGAUGAAAUCAAUCGUUUCUGCCAGGUGUUGACAUGUGUCCUAUUUGAUGACUUUUCUGAUUUAUUUUGAUUUUUCAUUUAGUCACACGUUACGUGUAAAAUUUAUGUGAUACAUGAGCGUUGAAAUUGUAACUAUUGGUCAACAUUUAUUUCACCGAAAUUUCGAUGUCUACAAAUGCCCCCACUUCAAGACGCGUCGUAUACAUGUGCUUGUCGCGUGUAGGAGAUGCGUUUUAAAGUCCCUUAAUGUAGAUGUCGAUCCAAGGGCCGUUGAGGCUUGAUCUUGAACUUCGUUUGAAAUUUCUUCAAGGGCCGUUGAGGCUUGUUCUUGAACUUUGUUUGAAAUUUCUUCAAGGGUCGUCAAGGCUUGAUCUUGAAGGUUGAAAUUGGACCACAAGGAGCUUCAUGUGUUAGAUGAUCUUUGGCUUUGGUAGUGGAUGAAUUGGCACGUAUUUGUUUUUGCGCUUGUUACCUUUUCACAGCUUUGAUCUUGAACUGGGUUUGAUUCAAGGAUAGUGGACACUUGAUCUUGAAUCGGACUUAUGAUUUCCUCAAGGGCCUUCGAUGCUUGAUCUUGAAUUUGGCUGGAAGCUUCUUCAAGGGCCGUUGAGGCUUGAUUCUUGAAGGUUGAUUCGAACACAUGGCAAGCAGGCACGAGGUGAAGGUGUUGGUCUGUUUCUUUCUUCAAUCUUUCCGAGUGCCGACCGAUUGCUUUCUUUCUACUUAUCCUGCAGGCAAGAGCAAAGGUAAAGGAAAAGCAUGCCAUGAGAUAUCUUUGUUUUCGACUCUGAUGAUAUGAGGUACUUUUGCUUUUGAAGAAGUUACGGGUGAAUCAGCACGUGUUUUGUUAUGCUUGUCUCCACAUGCUUCAAUGUAUCAUUUUCCUUUGCCUUAUCUAUUCUUCUGGCAGAAUGUGGCAUCUUCUCAAGUUCCUUAGCUCAGACUCCUUCUGCUGAGUUGACUGUGCAGGCUGCAUUCUUCUCUGCUUGUUUCUUUAGGUAGAUGUGGCAGCUUCUUGAGUUCCUCAACUCGGACUCCUUCUGCUGAGUUGACUGUGCAGGCCGCAUUCUUCUCUGCUUGUUCCUUCUGCACGUCUCCACAUGCUGCAAGGUAUCAUUUUCACUUGCCUUAUCUGUUCUCCAGGUAGAUGUGGCAGCUUCUUUGGAAGUACAGCAGCAGUGGAAGACGAGUACUCGAGAGUAAUACCAUGUAAGCAACCAGGCAAAGGUUCCAGGUAGUCGAUUCCUUACCCGAGUUUGAGUGGAGGUUCCGACAUAUUGCUUUCUUUAUCCUUGUCUUUGUAGGGAAGAACAAGGACAAAGGAAAGGAUAGGGAGAAAGCAUGAUAUGAGAUACUCUUGCCUUCUACCCUGGUGAUAUGAGAUACUUUUGCUUUGGUGUCAUUUGUUUGCAAAGGCACCCUAAGGAAUAAGGAACACUGAGUGACUCGAGAGGUUCCGUUGGGAAGGCAUUCUCGGAGAUGAAGAAAUGUUCUGUAUGUCUGCCUUGCUAUGGAGGGUGAAGGUGGACAGUUAUAGGAAGUUCUUUAAUACCUGUAGAGGUACUAUUUUUUCACUCGUGUUGGCAACCAUUGAGUGGUUGAUCAGUAUGACUUCACGUGUUUUCUUCUUCAUAAAAAAUCUUCGACAAAUUGUCCGUAAUUUCUGCCAAGCUGAAUGUGCAUGUGACAGGUGUUGACGAGGCUGAAAAAGAUUGGCGCCUCUUCGAUAUCUGGGAUCGGCGCUUCGACAAAUUGCCCGUGAUUUUUGCAAAGCUGAGUUUGCAUGUGACGGGUGCUGACGCGUCUGGAAAAGCAAGAUGUCUCUCCGAUUUCUGAGCUUGCCUCUUCAAUUUUUGAAUUGGCCUCUUCGAAUUCUGAGCUCGCCUCUUCGAUCUUUGAAAUUCCGUCGAGUGCUGAUUUUUAUAGAGGCAUGCAAUUCGUUUCAAAGCACUCUUGAAAUUUCGCUUGUAGAAACUCCCUUCUUGCACUUCUAAGAUCUUGAUUCGUCCGACCUCUUCUUUUUUUAACACCUUUGAAAAUGUCUGGACUCUCCGACCGUCGUUUUGACUUGAACCUUGGUGAAAAGGCAGUCCCACCUUCUCCAGACAACAUAUGGUGCCCAUCCUUCAUAUCCCCUACUGGUCUUCUUACCGUUAGGGAUUCGGUGAUGAAGAAUGAUAUGACCACUGCGGUGGUGGCUCGGAACCUUGUCACUCCUAAAGAUAACAGACUACUUUCCAAACGGUCUGAUGAGUUGGCUGUUAAGGAUUCUCUAGCUCUCAGUGUGCAGUGUGCAGGUUCUGUGUCUAAUAUGGCCCAACACCUAUUUGCUCGAACCCGUCAAGUUGAAUCAUUGGCGGCUGAAGUGAUAAGUCUCAAACAGGAGAUUAGAGGGCUCAAGCAUGAGAAUAAAUAGUUGCACAAGCUCGCACAUAACUAUGCUACAAACAUGAAGAGGACGAUUGACCAAAUACAGGAAUCUGAUGGUCAGAUUUUACUUGAUCAUCAGAGGUUUGUGGGUUUUUUCUUUUGCCUUCGUCUUCUGGGGCUGUACCGUGUAAUGAAGCUCUAAAUGAUCAACCUUCGGUGCCUCCUCCUCCUGGGGUUCUGCCUAGUACUGAGGCUCUGAAUAAUCACCCUCUGGUGCCUUUCCGAUCUGGGGCUCCGCCGAGUACUGAGGCGCCACCUGAUCAAUGAAGGCUUUUGUUUGUUUGCACAUUUUUUUUUUGGCAUGUAAAUGUUCCCUCUGUAAUUUUCCAAAGAAAUCAAUGAAAUGGACUUUAUUUCUCUCAAUGCAUUUGUUUUUUUUUUCUCUUUUUGUUUUUUUUUUUGUUUUUUUGUUUUUUUUUUCAUGUGGUGCAAUCCGCACCGUCCCACCCAUUAUUUCUUAUAUAUUAUUUUUUUUUCUUUUUUCAUAUGGUGCAAUCCACACCAUCCCACCCAUUAUUUCUUAUAUAUUAUUUUUUUUUUCAUAUGGUGCAAUCUACACCAUUCCUGAAACCCUUUUUUUUUUUUUUCAUUGGCCAACACCUUCUCUUUCUUUUCUAUAUAUAUCCCCAUAUAGUGCUUUGGCAAUGGGCGGAAGAUGAAGCAGAGGGAGGAUGCAGACGGUUGACAUCGUGGUGCAGCAACAACAAGCUUUUAGGUAUGUUUUAGGCUGAGGACGAUUUCAAUCUUUUGGACCUCAUAUAUAUAUAUAUAUAUAAUCUGUUUAGGAUGCCAGAAUAUAUAUACAUUCCUUCAAUCGUCCCAUCACCAUCACUAUUUGCGUCCUUUCAAGCCAUAUAUAUAUAUAUAUAUAUAUAUGUAUGUGGAAGUUUGAACGUCCCGUCACCAUUAUUGUGUACACAAAUAUAAUAUAUAUACACACACACACACAUAUAAUACCAUAUAAUGUGUCUAUUUUUAUGCACAGUGUGUUCGUGCCCCCACUGAUGGAUUUCUUUGCUGUGAUGCCAGGAAUCCUUAAUUUUAAGAAGGCAGAGCAUGAUGCUGGGACCCUCAUGAAGCUUUUAGAGGUGUGAUUGUUGGUGGCGGAGUGAGCAGGUUGCCUAAUGCUUGUGCCAGAGACUACAACGAAGUUUCGCUGUGUAGUGCCUUUUGAUCAUAGUUUUCCCUCGGUGGUGCGCUGCCGUGUGGUGAUGUGCAAGAUACUGCAGCGGGGCUUCGCUGUGUAAUGCCUUUUGGUCACAGUUUUCUUUUGGCGAUGACGUCGCCGUGCAGUGCAGGAAACUGUUUGCGUAGUCACUGCGUGGUUGCGUAGUGCGAUUGCGUGGCAUUUUGGUUUCUCUGCCACUGUAGCGUGCUUUGAAAGACCGUCUUGUAGCUGUCAUCUCUGCCGUGCUGCUCAAGCUUUGUGGCUGACUUUUCCGUUGCAGUUAUGGUGUUUCUCAAGUGCUUUAAAAACAACACCAUCACCAUUCUUGCGAAGGAAUGCGAUCCACAAGAUAGUGGAACGACAUUGAAGCUUUAUGUGCCACUGACUGGCCCUAAGGCGCUUGUUCUUCCCAUAAAAGACAACUUCAUGCAUAUUAAGUCGUGGUCUUCUAAGGUAUCUUGGGAGGUAGUAGACUCCGUUCGACCAACUACAAAGAAGAAGGUGUGCAAAUCGAGGAUUCUUAUCUUGAACUCUUUGCACCAUGAUCGUGCCAACCCUUUGGUUAAGUAUAAGUUUCUUGGUGAUCGUAUCCGUAGCAGAGCUAUAGCUUGGAAUAGCACCCUGUCGACUACUGGAGGAGCCGCCUUCGUUGAGUUUUAUUGGGAAUGGCUUGAAGAUGUCUUGAGCCGCUCCAAAGAUGUACUUACCAAUACAGGCCUUUAUCAUGCUGUAUAUGCAUCUUUGUUCAGUUAUGAUCGCCAUCCUUCCGUCAUUCGUGCAUUCUUUGAGCAUUGGUGUUCAGCGACUAACACGCUUCACAUGGCUCGAGGGGAGAUAUCGAUUUCACUUAGGGAUCUCCACAAGCUAGGGGGUCUGCCUAUCCAGGGAAAAUUUUAUGACGAGGUUGUUCCUAGUGUGGAGGAGUUUUCUUGUCGCAACAGUCGAGGAUUGCCUGCGAGCUGCCGCUAUUUGUUCUGGGCGUAUGAUCGGAUCAUAUUUAUAUAUAUUUUUACUUCGAAUUCACUCGUCUUUUCUUAGUUAGUUCCUUAUAUUUUUUAGCUAUUUACGUUAUUUUUGUGUUUAUAGGAUUUGUUAUGCAAAGAAAAUAAAAAUAGAACAAGUGAAAUUUUAUGUAAUAAAUUCGUCAAAAGCAAAUUUAAAUUACAUAUUGCCAACCCAUUGUGACGCUAAAUGAUAAACCAAUAUUUAAACUAUAUAUUUCAUCCUUUUAUAUUUCUUUUCUUGUCUUGUCUAAUUUAGUUAAAGCUUUAAGUAUUUAUGAUACUUUUAAUUUAUUGUGUUUGUAGGAGAAGAAAGUGGAAAGCACUGAGAAAUUAAAUAGAAGAAGUGGAGAGACAGCGUGAGCAAUAGAGAAAAGCAGAAAACGUGAAAGGGAUCCAAGAGGGAGAGCUGCUUUGCAGCUGGACGCGGAGAAGGAAUCCAAGGAGUCAAAAGCAAGAGCACGCGGGGACGGAUGGGAAAAAGCUGCCUUGGUAGCGUGUGAGAGAAGAAAGAAAGCCGGGAUGUCAGCGAGAGAAUAAAAGGAAGGAGAUAAAAGAUAAGUAGGGGGUCUUGGAGCGGGAGAAGGGAGCUGCCCUUUGGGCAGCUCGCAGGCACAUGCAGGGCGUGACACGGGGUUAUGGUGUGGAGUCAGAAAAGAAGAAGAAAGCUGCUUGGGGCAGCGUGAGAGAAAGAAGCAGAGGGCUGCCUUUGCAGCAGAGAGCAGGAGACGGGCAGCGUGGAAAAGAAGGAGGGCACAGGGCAGUGUGCGGAAAAAUAAAAAAAGGCAGAACAGAAGAAGGACAGGGAGGACUGGGCAGCAGAACCGAAAGGGGAAAGGAGUGAGAGACGGAAAGAAGAAAAUAAAAAGAGAAAGGCUGCUUUGUGCAGGAGGUCAGACGGGAGAGCGGGGAGAGAGACAAACACAGAAAACUGUGCGGAUAGAAAAGCAGCUCGCAGAGCAGAAGCACAGAAACGCAGCAGAUCUUAUUUUCUUGGUUUUAUCUUCUCAAACUCAUGUUUUACUUUUGGUUUAAUUUGAUAAUAAUGUGUAACUAAUUUUAUUUUGGCUAGAGGUUAAUUCAAAGCCAUGAAUAUAUUUGUAAUAUGAAUUGAUUACCUUCAGUUGUGAUUUCUGAGUUGUGAUUUAAUUUGCUUAACUGCUUGAUUGAUAACUUAUUUUUGUAUGUCGAUUAAGGAUGCAUACUUAAUUUACAUGCAUGAAUUUGAUGCUAGAAUAUAAGUGAAUUUCACCUAAUCGUUAUGAACUUAUAUUCACAAGUAGUGAAGGUUGUUAUCCACAAUCGUGUUAAGUGAAUUCUUGGCAAGAGUAUCAUGCUUUUCAUAGUUACGAAUGCCUCGUCAAUGCUUAUAGUUUUCACAAAGUCUAAUGAUCUUUGAUUGUAUCUCUAUUGUGCUUUUCACGUAGGGGACUUUUGAAGAAUGUUUUGAAUUGUUGUAUGCGUUUUCCCGUCCAAUUCAAUAACUUAAGGAAAACUUGAAGAUUAAAAAAAGUGCUGUUCACGGUUAAUCUGAAGUGUUGAGAUUCACAACUUAUUGAAAGAACAACUGAAAAUCAAUUUAGGUUGCAUAUGUGUCAUGUGUAGAGAAGAACCCUCUAGCUAAUCCAUCACCUAUCCUUUCACCUUAAUUUCAUGUUUUUGUCAAUUCUGUAAUUUAUUUAAGUUUAAUUUAUUUCUAGUCAAAACCAAACACCCUUCCAUUAUUAAAUAUAUUAUUUUAGUUAGUUUUUCAUUGUUGUUAGUCUUUUAAUUCAAUUUCCGUCCAUUUCAGUUCCUAGUGUCUAAUUUGAUUGUUUUCAUUAUUUUGAGUUAUCCUAAGUGUGUUUCGAGUUAUUAGAGUUUUUAGCCUAGUUUUGUGUCCUUGAGUCUUAUUUAAUAUUUUUAAAUUAAUUUAGAAUAGAUUAGCAAUCCCUCCUAAUCCCCGGCCUAGAACGAUACCCUACUUACAUCCAUACUACAAUUGUCAAAAAGAGGGUUUAAUUUGUGUGUCAAGAAAUUCUCACAUCAGCGUACCAUAAGCUUUUCCAAGAGGCCCCCGGUAAGUCAGGCGUGAAGAUUUCUUUGUGGAUCCGAUUUUGGUAUUGGGAUGCCGUGAUGUAUAAGAGGCAUUUGAAAAAAAAUGGUCGUAACAAGACAACCAAGCCUAAGGGAGACUCUUAUUCGUCAGGCAUCAUUGGUCUAGCUGGGCACCGUACCCCUAACGAGUUGAGGGCAUUUGAGGAUCUCAACGUGGCUUUAGAGCACUUGGAAGAAUCUUACUUAGCUGCAUUCUUAGCUUGUUGACUUUGUAAGUUUGUCUUUCCUAAAGACGACGUUAACUUGAUUCGUCCUGGAGUCUUCAAAGUUGCUAGCAAGAUGGCUGCAGGCGAAUCUUUUAGCCUUGCUAUUCCGGUCUUAGCCAACAUUUACGACGGCUUAAAAGUUGUUUCGGACUUGGCAAGCAGUGAAGAUCGUGAUGCAGUACUUCCUUACCACUACGUGUACGAUUGGUUGGGUGAGUACUUUGGUACUCAUUUUUCUUCGUCAACUUUAGACAAGUCUGGGCCCUCCGUAGUCAAGCUGGGACCUUUGAUGACGAAGUAUUCUAGCGUGCUUUCUGCGAAGAGUCUCGACGAUUAGCAGGCGCAAACAUUAUUUAGGAGUUGUGAAGGAUUGAGGAUGGAUCGCCUGGCGAGGGUUGGCUCGGUGCGGCGAGACAUCAUGGAUGAUUCAUAUCUCCCCUUUUCAGACUUGUCUUACCUUAUAAAUCUCCGCUCGGGGUAUGUUUAUUUGCGGCAAGAAGACCGAUGUAUCAUUCAGCCGUACAGUCCUCACCGCUUUAGCAAGCAAUUUGGUUUUGUCCAAAAUGUGCCAGGCACGUUGAGGGAGAAAGCUCGAUCAGAAUCCUUGCAAGCCGUGUAUAUGCAUUGGGAGUCGUGUACCCGUGCAUGUACAAAAGCUUCUAUCACCCUGCCGACCAAGGACGAGUUCAAGAGUAAUCCAGUAACCUGUGUUUAUGUAUGUUGGUGGUCAAAAGUAUAUUAUGAGAAUUUAGGGACGACAAGUGGUACCAAUUCUUCCCAUUCACGUCAUGAUGCGUUAAAAGAGGGUUGUUCUGUGGUUCCUACGCAGUUGGUACCUUUUGAUUGUGCGAGUGUCACUCAUUUGCAAGAUAGACCUAUGGUUUUAACCCAUCAACACUUGCGUCUGUCCUCUCCUCACCUGGAUGCUUCUGAAGAGGUGGGUGACGAAGUUGAUUCGCACGGAGAUGGACCUGUUUUGCGGCUACGCCAACAAGUUUUAAACAAGCGGUCACUCGAAGUCGCUCAGGUUGACAGCGAUGUUAAUUUUCGUCAUAAGAAGAAAGGAAUGUUUAGGCUUCCUCAAUCUGAUGGUCGUGUGUUAGAUGUACGUAUUUCUUUCUCUCUUUUUUUAUUUUAUUUUUUUAUUAUUUUAGCUUUCAUUUCUAACAUCUUUCUUUGUUUUGUUUAGGUUGGGCCUUCUUGUUCUUUUAAUCUGGUGACUGCGGGCGUUUACUCCUGUACGAACAUGGUACUUGGAGGCAAUCUACCUACAGAUGGGGAGAUUGGGGAUCCACCUGGUGCAGAGUUCGUUCAAAAUCUGCCCAAUUUCCCAAGCUUGCCGUAUGUAGGUGGAGGCGUACAAGAGUCCAUCAUGCGUCCAACACAUUUGCCAGCUAGUUCGGGGAUCUCUUUGAGAGGGCCGAACCUUAAAGGUACUGAGCAAGUCAUCCAUCACAUUCGUCUUGGUGCGGCAAUGGAUAUCAAGAGCCAUAUAGAGAAGAGGAUUUCUAAAUGCCCGUUGGAAGACCUUAUGUUGCUCAAUGAGGACUUGUCGAAGCUUGUUGCUGUGAUUGACAGCCUUAACGUUGAUUCUUCCUCAUUGAAGAUCAAGAUUGCCGAACUUAUGGCCGCCUCGACUGAGUAUUCUUUCUUGCGUGCUAUUUCCUUGGAGAAGUUGAGUCCGGAUAUUAGAGCUCAUCAGCUAGCAACGAUAAACUUGUCACUGGCUCAAGUUCGGUCUUCUCAGCAAGCUGCUUCGGGAGAUUAUCAAUUCACAAAGACUACUUUAACUUCUGUCCAGGUGCGUCUAGAUGCGUUGGUGCGAAAGCGAGAGCAGUUGGCAAUCGAAGUAUCGCAACUUGAAAGUGUUCUCUCAGAGCAGGGAACUACACUUUCUCAGUACCAGGAAGAGAUUUCGCGCCUAGGACGAGAGAAAGGCAUGACUAUGGAGUUGCCCAUCUUGUCUCCCACCGAGGUAGAGACUUUAAAAACUUUGGAAGGCUUGCUUAAAGAUCGCCUUCGUAGUUUUAGGGACAUAGUUUUCAAGUAGUAUCUUUUUUUUUUUUUCUUGUAAUAAGGCUUUGGAGCCAACUUCUUCUUUUAAAGAAAUAAAGUAUUUACAUUUUUGAAGUUUUGACGGUGUGACUGUACUUGAAGUUUUGAAGUUUCAAGUUGCCUACGUACCCUCAAUUGAGGAGGGAUCAAGUCAUAACGUAGUUCAAAUGAGCGAUGAAUUUAACAAUGAUUUUGAUGAUGAUUUUCGUACACAGUUUAUGCUCUUACGAGCCAGGAGCUUUGAUUCAUGCAGUUUAGGCUCGUGCGAACAAAGAGCAGGAGUUUGUCGCCUUUUAGGGGUAGUAGCGCUUCAAGAAUCUGCCAUUGAUAGGGUCGAUCUUCAAGCCAUCUUCCGCCAUGAUUAAGUAGGCGCCAUUGGUGUAGACUUCUUGUAUUACGUAUGGUCCAUACCACUUUGACGUGAACUUGCUCUUUGUCUUGUGAGUUGUGAUGAUAGGCCUACGCAAUGAAAGGAUGAGAUCUCCCAUUUGAAAAGAACGAGGGAGAACUUUCUUGUUGAAGGCCUUGGAGAGUCGUGCUUGAUAACACUCCAAAUGUUGCUGGGCUUCGAGUCUUUUCUCAUCCAGCGCUUCUAGCUCUUGAAGGCGCAACUUUGCAUUCUCUUUGUCAGUCAAGCCUUCUUGUAUAGCCAUCCUUAGCGAGGGGAUUUGACUUUCGAGCGGUAGAACAGCUUCUACGCCAUAUACGAGAGAAUAAGGUGUAGCUUGGUAGGCGUUCUAUAUGUCGUCCUGUAUGCCCAAAGUGAUUCGCCUAUUCUUUCAUGCCAGUCUUUCUUUGUUCUGCCGAUUACCUUCUUCAGGAGGUUGCACAAUGUCUUGUUGAAUGCUUCUACGAGACCAUUAGCCGGAGCAUGAUACAUGAAGGAUUUGUGCUGCUUGAACUUGUAUUUCUCGCAGAGCUCGUCCACGAGUCAGUUGGAGAACUAUUUUCCGUUGUCAGUGACAAUGUAGCGAGGCACACCAUAUCAGUGGAUGAUAUGUUCCUUGAUGAAAUGGACGAUAGUUUCCUUCUUGACUUCCUUCAGGGGUAUGGCUUCAGCCUACUUGGAAAAGUAAUCUGUUGCAGCCAGGAUGUAAGCUUCUCCUGCAUAUGACUUUGGCGCAAUUGGUCCUACGACGUCCAAUCCCCAUGCAUCGAAUGGCCAUGAAGUAGCUGUGGGGUGUAAUGGUUUAGGCGGUUGAUGUAUGAAGUUGGCGUGAAAUUGGCAGGCUUGGCACCUUUUGGCGUGUUCUAGGCAGUCCUUUACCAUGCUUGGCCAGUAGUAACCCAUUCUUUUGAGCUGGAAAUGAAGCUUUGGUCUGGACUGAUGCGCCCCUCAUAUUCCUGAGUGUGCUUCUUCCAUGGCUUGAUUGGCUUCUUCCUCGCCUAGGCAUCUCAGAAGUAAUCCUUCAAAAGAUCGCCGGUAGAGUGUCCCUUUGUAAUAGAGGAAGCGAUGUGCUCGUCGACGUACUUCAGAGCGGUGUUUUGGAUCAUCUGGAAGUUUUCCAUGCUCAAAGUAGCUGAUCAAAGGCUGUCUCCAUUCUUCAACGUUGACUGGAAGUAUUGAAAUAACGUUUGUAUCGCUUAGUACCAUUUCAGUAACAAGCGAGAUUACCCAUCUUUGGCAGAUUGGCACGUUUGCAGCUUCGUCUUCUUCUAAUGUCAUGCUCGAAGCUAGGUUGGCGAGAGCGUCUGCCAUUUGAUUCUCUUUUCUUGGCAAGUGUUCUAGUGUUACGGCCUCAAACCUUUGUAGCAAUUGCAUUGCCAGCCGGAAGUAUGGGACGAAAUCAUCUUUCCUCACCUCAUAUUCAGUCAAGAGUUAAUUGAUUAUGAGCUUGGAGUCGCCAUAUAUCUCAAGGGCUGGGAUUUCCAUGUUGAUUGCCAUUUGGAGCCCGAUGAUCAGUGCUUGGUACUCAGCGACGUUGUUGGAGCAUAAUUCGCUUAGUUGGAAUGAAUAAGGUAGUAUUUGCCUUUGUGGCGACAUGAAUACUACUCCUGCCCCCGCUCCGUCUGCUUGUGCAGAUCCGUCAAAGAACAUCGUCCAUGUCGGGAAUAUGUCGAUGUAGAACACCUCCUCGUCAGGCAAGUCGUCUGAGAUUUUCCAAUCGGCUGGGAUUGGAUGGUCGGCAAGGAAGUCUGCUAGCGCUUGUCCUUUGACGACUUUAGCUGGGACGUAGAUGAUCUCGUAUUGAUUGAGAAGCAAUGCCCAUUUAGCUAGUCGCCCUGUCAAAACUGGCUUGGAGAUGACUUAUUUGACCAGGUCAGCUUUAGCAACCAAAUGGAUGGUGUAAGCAUGCAUGUAAUGCCUGAGCUUCUGGAUGGCAAACAUUAAGGCAAGGCACAUUUUUUCUAUUGGGGAGUAGUUCAACUCAGCGCCGGUGAGCGUUCGACUGAGGUAGUAGAGCGCUCUUUCUUUCUGGGAUUCGUUUUCUUGUGCCAAGAGUGCUCCAACUGAACUUUCCUGAGCAACAAUGUAUAAUAUGAGCGGUUUCCCUGGUACAGGUGCCCCCAGGACAGGUGGACUUGAUAAAUACUUCUUUAUGCUUUCAAAAGCAUUGUUGCAUGCGUUGUCCCAUACGAACGGAACAUCUUUCUUCAUGAGUCAACUGAACGGUUGACAACGCCCUGCAAGGUUGGAGAUGAAGCGUCUGAUGAAGGCUAGUCGUCCUUGUAGACUUUUCAACUCGUGCAGGUUUCUUGGCUCGGGCAUGCUUUGAAUGGCCUUGAUCUUUGAUUGAUCCACUUCAAUGCCACGAUGCUUGACAAUGAAGCCGAGGAACUUUCCAGAUGUGACACCAAAUGCACACUUUAACGGGUUCAUCUUGAGGUUGUAUUUUCGCAACCUUUCGAACACUACUCGCAAGUCCUUCAAGUGAUCUGAUCUUUUCUUUGUCUUGACCACCACAUCGUCUACAUAGCAUUCUACGUUCUUGUGUAGCAUGUUAUUGAAGAUCUUCUGCAUUGCGCGUUGAUAUGUAGCUUCAGCAUUCUUCAGACCAAAGGGCAUCACCUUGUAGUAGUAGAUACCUUUUGGAGUGCGGAAGGCUGUUAGUUCCUCAUCUUCAAGAGCCAUACGAAUUUGAUUGUAUCCAGAAGAGCCGUCCGCGAAUGAUAGUGCCUCAUGGCCAGUGGUCGCGUCCAUCAUGAUUUCAAUGAUUGGCAAGGGGAAGUCAUCCUUUGGGCAAGCAUCAUUGAGGUCUCGGAAGUCUACGCAAACACGUAUUUGUCCAGAUUUCUUAAGGAAUAUGAUGAUGUUAGAGAUCCACUUGGGGUAUUGCACUUCUCGAAUGAAGCCUGCUUCAAUCUACUUGUCAAUCUCGGCCUCGAUUUGUUGGAUACGCUCGGAUCGAUAGCGUCUUUGAGUUUGCUUUAUUGGUCGCGUUCCAGGCUUGACUGCAAGAUGAUGCACAGCGAUGAUAGGGUCGAGGCCGGGCAUUUCCUUGUAGGUCCAAGCAAAGACGUCCUUGUACUCUAAUAGCAGCUGGUAAUACUUAUCUAUCUCGUCUGCACUUAGUAAUGCACUCACGAAGAUAGGCUUCGGUUCCUAACUUGUGCCUAAGUUGAGUUCUUUGAGAUCGUCAACUGUGGCCUGCCCCCCAUCUUCGAGUUGUGACGGUGUUGCAAUGACAUCUUCAUCGAGGAUUUCAUCUUCUUCACCUUCUUGGAUUGUGCUGUGGAAGACGUCUUGGGCCUCUUCUUCGGUGUUAACCUCUCGAGCUUGUUGGCAUGAAGAUUGUCCAGUGUGGAUGAUGGUGCGCCUUUUUACUUUCAGUGAUCCAACUGUGUUUAACCUCCAAAAUUGCUUGGCACUUCAUUCUUGAAGGAAUGGAACUUCGAACGUCAUCCUUUUCUGCCAGACGAUCGAUCUUUUCUACUUCUGGUGUCGUCUUUCUCUUUCUGGAAGGCUCUUUGACUUCUUCAAGUCUUUCCAUAACUGACUGUCAUGGAGGAAAGUUAGUCGUAUUGCUUUGCUUCUUAGGUUUCGACAACCUUUUGAAAACAGAGCUUCGAGAUGCUGACGUGUUAAGCCUUUUGAAGACGAAAGUUCUGUUUUGACCGCCAAUGAGUUUAGGUGCCGAAACUCUGGGCCUUGAACGAUUUAUUCUAUCGAAUACUGACGUCUGGGGGGCAGGUUGAGGCUCAUCUUUAUCUUGUAUAAUGCUCACGCUGAUAUGUUGAGCGCUAGCAUUUUUUGCUUUGCUGGAGAUCUUCACCUGUGCAUUUGGUGUGAAGCCAAGUCCCGCUUUGUUGUUGUUAACCCCGUAACCAUGCUUCUCCAACUUCUUCUGAGUUUUAGUGAGAUCACGUUUGUUGUCUUGGAAGAUGUUCGAAUCCUUCUUUCCCAAAUUUGCAAAGGAGGUGAAGUUGUACCCAGCUUUCGACAUGAGUUUGUAGGCGUUUGGAUCAAAACCUUAUUCGGUCCUCUUGGUUGGGAGAAAGCUUGGUUCUACCCCUUUUGGCAGGCCUUUUAUGAAGCCUUGUGAUGGUCUUGCAACCUUAGUGUCGCCUAGCUGUGUCAGAGGCAAAACUGCAUUCGUUUUGAGCAACUUUACAUUAUCCAUGUGCCGCUGUGCAUCGGCUUUGCUUGCUGCAGUUUCAAACGGGGAUUGACCAUUCUUUCUUCUCGAUGUCGGGAUGUAUCGAAAAACGAGUAUGUUUGGUCCAUUUGAAGGCAUCCUACUCCCUCUAGUUGUUGCAGGUUUAGCAAGCUCAUCGUCAUUUUUGCUUGAAGAUGGCAUAGCUUCUUCUUCUUGCUUCUUGGGCACGGCUUGCCACUCCUGCUUUUUAGGUGUUACUUUGCCCAUGGAUUUGAUCUCUUUAGGAAGAGUUUCGGGCACCAUGUCUUCAUCCAUGUAGAACUUGACGUCUGUGAAAUGUGAUUCGGCUUCGGUGAAUGGUUUGGUGUCGCCAUAGAUCACCUUCACUCUUUCUCGGUAAAAUUUUAAGCAUUGGUGAAGGGUGGACGGUACUACUCCAUUCACAUGGAUCCAAGGUCUUCCUAAGAGCAAACCGUAGGAAUUUCUUGCAUGAAUCACGUGAAAUAUUGUGCUUGACUUGAGUUCACCAAUGGUCAUCUCUACUCGGAUCAUGCUCAUCGCUCUUUGUCCUCCUUGGUUAAAACCUUGGAUUAGUAGACGAUUUAGGGAUAGUUCAUCCACCUUGAUGCUGAUUGUGGUCAUUGUUGACUUUGGCAUGAUAUUUAUGGCUAAUCCGCUAUCCACAAGCAUGCAGUCGACUUUGUGCUCCUUUACGUACCCAGAGACGAAAAGAUGACGGUUGUAAAGCUUGGAUCCUAGCAGCAAGUCUUCGUCGGUGAAGUGGAUUAUGUCAUCGGCAGCACAGCAUGUGGCACACUCGUGUGGCCGAAGCCUCAAGCCUUCGUUCUUGCUUUCUUACACUUCGUGGUCGUUUGGACUUGUUAAAACUGCUACCAGUGCCAUUCGUAUCUUCUUUGGCAAUUGUAGCGCUUCCUCGAUGCUAAAGUGUGUUGGCAGACCUUCUUCAGGUGUAAGAGUAUUUUCUCCCUCAGUGGCGACAACUUUGCCUUUCGAGGGUUCUUCCAUUUCUACUUCGACCAUAUGACAUGCAGCGAUAGUGCAAUGUUGGAAGAAGUCCUCCGGGAAGUACUCGUGUAAGGAGACGAGAAUGCGUGGCUUUUGCUCCACAGGUUCCCCAGCAUAUGUUGGCUUAGUAACUCUUAUGUUUCUUUUAGGCUUCCUAUUGCUGCGGCGGCGGUGCUUUCUCCCUUGUUCCCCCUUUGGCUUUAUAGUUUGCGGUCUCAGUUUCCUCCUCCUCUUAUAGGUCACCAAUGUCCAUCCUUUGUCAUCGUCAGUAGGUGCAUCUUGGUUGCUUGCUCCCAAUGACGAUGGUGCAGAAGGUGCAGUGUGGUUUGAGUAUUGCCGAGCAUGGUCAGGCAUUUCUUGAAGAGGCACGGGAUCAAAGGAUCCAAACACGAUCGUAGUGGUGUGCGUUGCAGCUGUGUCUUCUAAGUCGAGCUCAAUCCGCCCUUAUUGUGCCAACUUCAUGAUGAGUUCUUUUAGGAUGAAACACUUGCCCACAUGAUGACCCACGAUGCGAUGGUACUUGCAGUACUUGGGAUCAUUGAUGCGAUUCAUCUCUUCAGGGCGUUUGCAUUCGGGCAACUCAAUCACCUUCUUCUCCAGCAGGUCGUCCAGCAUUGCGUCCAUGUCGGAGUCCGGAAAAGGGUAUACCUUCUGCUCUAGUUCCCUUAAAGUGUUUUUGUACCUAUCUUGGGUGUGGGAAUGCUCACUUCUUUUUAUCUCCUUUGCUUUGUUAUUGAAGGAGAUUUUGACGGGUACGGACGAGGUCUUGAUAGGGGUGGUAUUGGUGGUAAAAGCUUCCUUGGCGGGCUUUUUCCCAUGAUUGUCUACUCUUGAAGUAAACACCUUAUCCCUUUUGAAAUCGGUGAUUGGCUCCUUCUUUCCAUGGUGGGCGAUGCUCAGCUGCAUGUCGUGGGCACGAGUGGCUAAUUCUUUAAAAGUUUGUGGUUUGAUACCUUGAAUGAUGUAUUGUAAACCCCAUUGCAUGCCCUGGAUGCACAUCUCGAUUGAAGAAAUCUCGGAGAUUCUGUCCUUACAGUCGAGGCUUAGAUUACGCCAUCGGUUGAUGUAGUCCAUGACUGGUUCUUCCUUCCAUUGCUUCGUGCUCGUCAGCUCUAGCAUGCUCAUAGUGUAGCAGGUUCUGUAGAAGCGGUUGAGGAAUUCCCUUUCCAACUAUUCCCAGCUGUUGAUGGACUCAGGCUCCAGGUCCUUGUACCACUCAAAGGCGUUUCUUUUUAACGAGCGCACAAACUGCUUGGCAAGGUAAUCUCCCUACGUCCCUGCAUUGUUGCCGGUUUCGACGAAAUGUGCGACAUGUUGCUUCGGGUUUCCCUUUCUGUCAAAUUGCAUAAACUUCAACGGUUGAUAGCCCCUCGGCAUUUUUAAGGCGUCGAUCUUCCUAGAGUAAGGCUUCGAGUACAACGUGGUGGCAUGGGAGCUCCCUUCGUACUGUGCCUUGAUGGUGUUGGUGAUCAUCUCUUGCAGCUGCUGGAUAGAAAGAGAUCCCAUGAGUGUCACUGCUUGGUCUGGCUCCGGCUUCACAUCAAUUUUCUUCACCGAAGGCUCCUCUUCUUCGCCAGCUUCUCCCUUUAGUGGAUCAUCCUCUGGGUCAGGUUUCUCGCCAUCCUGCGCCUCCAAUCGGUUGACUAGUGCUGCAAUUUGCAAGUCUUUUUCUUCCACAAUUCGAGUUAGCCUUGCGAUUGCUUCAUUCAUUUGAGCCAGCUGCUCAUCAAUUGAAGUUGCUCCAGUGGUCAUGACUUGCAUGGCUGAACUACCGCUUGAAUCGGCAUCAGAGAGCAUGGAUUCGGAGUAUUUCCUUGGGUUUUCCCCCCUUGGUGCCCUUAGUGAGGCUAAGGUGAUCAUAAGCUCGUGCCUUAGGUGCUCUUGUUCCCUUGGUAGAGUUGAUACAGAGGUGAAAGAGGCGGCAGAAGUAGCUCUUGUCUUGCUUCGAGUCGUGAUGCCCAAAGUGACACCACUUGCGACGAAGACACUCUUGUUCUUUACGCCGGUUGCGGGAACAGUUUGAGUCUUCCUUGAUGCCAUUAAUUUUGGAAGUGUGCUUAAAUUUCUUGAACGGAGAAAGAGAUGAAAGUUAAAGAUGGUCCCACUGGGCGUGCCAAAUUUGUGAACACGAAAUUUUCCUGAAAAUGAAAAAGAAAAGAACAACGUACACAAAGUAAUAUUUGUAUUUGAUGAUUUUGGGUUACAAUCUCUCUCAAAUUUGAUCAUCUGAUUCGAUCUCCGUAAGGUGUUGAUUUGUGGAUGUGCAAUUGAUCCAAAGGGUCGUUGGGCUUGAUCUAAGGAUGAACGUUCUUUAAGGGGCGUGGGCUUGAUCUUGAAGGUGGAUUUGAGCGGAUCUUCAAGGAGCCGUUGGGGUUUGAUCUUGAGGAUGAGCGUUUCUUCAAGGGCCGUUUGAUCUUGAGGAUGAGCGUUUCUUCAAGGACCGUUGAGGCUUGAUCUUGAAUAACGGUGAUGAACGGAUCUUCAAGGGGCUUUUGGGCUUGAUCUUAAAGAACAGUGAUGAACGGAUCUUCAAGGGCUUUUGGGCUUGAUGAACGGAUCUUCAAAGGCUUUUGGGCUUGAUCUUGAAGAACGGUGAUGAACGGACCUUCAAAGGGCUUUUGGGUUUGAUCUUGAAGAAUAAUUGGAUGUGUGGAUUUAUCGACGUUGUUGAUCCAAAGGGCCGUCGGGGCUUGAUCUUGAAAGAACGAAGAACGAAGAACAAAGAAGGCUUUCUUGAUUCUUCGGGAACCUAGAUGCUUGAGAGCUUCGGAGUUUCAGAGCUUCAGAGCUUCAAGGUGUAAUCUGAAAAUUCCUCCCUAAAAUGAAUGAAAUGGCUUCUAUUUAUAGAAUUUUCCAAUGCCUAAUUUUGAAUAUAAUAUGCAUAUGAAAUAAAUCGUUUCUGUCAGGUGUUGACAUGUGUCCUAUUUGAUGACUUUUCCGAUUUAUUUUGAUUUUUCAUUUAGUCACACGCUACGUGUAAAAUUUAUGUGAUACAUGAGCGUUGAAAUUGUAACUAUUGGUCAACAUUUAUUUCACCGAAAUUUCGAUGUCUACACCUUAACUUGAAAAAAAUCAAAAAAUGAUUAAAAAAAAAAAAAAGACAACGCCACCACCCCUCUUCUUCCUUCAGUCCCCCUCCACAGACCCUUCAUAGAUUUUAUGAUCAGGGUUUUCACUGCCUAGCUACUUCUUCUGUCCAUAAAGCUCAAAACCUUUUGCAUUGAGCUCCAUUCCAUUAUCCAAAUUGAGAAAAUGUCCGGCCGUUGAGGAGGCGGGCGAUGGUGGCCCACUUGUUCCCGAACCGGGCAUGGGCCCGAAUAAUUGUGUCGUCCUCCUCGGGAGUGAAAGCGCAGUGCUCCAGCGGUGACAGCUAGUUGCACUACUGCAGCCAGCACGACUUCCCGGACCUACUUGGAAUCAACUUGCUUAUCAGCGACCAAUUCCUGGGGCCGUGCUUCUGCACCAGCUUCUAGAGCGAGUGGGUUUGUCAAGUUUUUUUUUUCAGAAGUCUUUUGUCCUUAUUAUUAAAAUAAAGUUAGUGGGUGGUUUUUUAUUAAAAUGUAAAGAUUUGAAGUCAUUUUCAUUAGUUUUCCUUUAAAAAAAAGCUUAUUAUAUUAACACUUCACAUAUUGUUCAAUAAAUUUCACAUACUUAAUACACAUCACAUUUGCUUUUUUGAAUUAAAAAUUAUCUUAAUACACUCAACAUAUUUUCCCAUAAUAUCCUCACACCCCACAUUCUCUUUAUACACUAUACAUUUUCGACAUACACCGCACACUUUUCAAAUCUUAUAACACUCAUUUUUAAUUUUCAAUGACUGAAUCUAAACAUUUAAACGUUUAGUUUACCGAAUGAUUUCAAAUUAAAUGAUUUGAAAAAUGUUUCGAUUCAUUUGAACAUUUUUCAAGAAUAAUAAUAAUAAUGAUUUCAAACUGAAGAUUUAAUGUACAUUAUAUAUAUAUGUAUAUAUAUAUAUAUAUAAUGUAGAUUUAAUUACGUACUAGUACUAUAUAUAAUGUAGAUUUAAUUGUACGUACUAGUACUACGCAUAAACAUCUUUUACUGUUUUUAUACCACAUUUGUCAUUUAUGGGUAAGAAUGAAUGGAAAAGGAUCCUCUCUAGGUCCUCUUUAUGGGGAUUCGGAGGAUCAAUCAAUCAUGUUCGUUCAUUGUAUAUCGUGCAAUCAGUUUUCGUUAGAUACUAUUUAUAUUCAAUUUUAAAUUUUAAAUUUAAAAUUAUUUAUGAUCAUACAAUGUACGAUGAACGAACAUGAUUAAUUGAUCAUCCUGAUCCGGAGAGGAUGCUUUUUCAGAAUGAAUGAUAUCCAAACAACUACAAUGCGCUAUACACUCAUGCAAUGAUAUAAACCUCCCUCUAUACGGGAAACCAAGGAAACAAAAAGAAAUGUAAUCUUCGUGGUACAUGGCUACCUACCUUUCUCAAAAUUCUCUUAAAUGCCAGAGAAAACCCACACAAAGAAUUUUACUAGUGACGCUUCAUUUCCCGGAAUAUGUUUGUCACCUUCGGGGAUAAUCUUGGAAGGAAUUUAAACAGCUGCACCACAAAUACAAAUGGUACCAAAUUGUAAAGAAACUACAAGCAAUAAAGCAUGUACGAGUGGUUUGUGAAACUGAAAUUACUACAUAGGAGAAGAGCAGAACAUACCCAAAGUUUGACGCAUGCAUCCAUGAUAACUGGAAUCAGGCAGAUGAAAAUGGUUAUGGCAGACUGAUCAACCUCAAGCCCAUAAUGCUCAACAAAAAUUUCUAACAACGUUUGCCAACCAGACUCAGAAUGAUACCUGCAGGAAUGCAGUUGUGUACCUCAAUCAGAAAAGUUUGAUAUGCAAGCACGUUGGUCACACGAGGAUGAGUAGGAUAGCAAUCAGAGAAAUGAAACUGAAGAAUUGGAAAUAAAAUUAUCCUACCACAAGAUGGCGACAUUCACCUAAGGGACAUUGUGCAUCCUUGACAUGCAAUAUAAUAUACGUAAUGUGUGUGUGUGUGCCUGUGCGUGUAUAUAUAUGGGGUAAUAUUCUCUUACCACAUAACUAGGUAAGUUAUGUCAUGAGACUGUGAAUCUGGACUUCACACUCUCACAAGAGCCCGCCUAAUCAGCAGUCCAUAUUGACAGUCUAGCUAUGUAACGUACUAAGCUAUCUGGCAAGAGAAAAUUCCAUAUAUAUGUGUGUCUUUAAUUUUAUAGCUUUCCAUAGUAGUAAGCAAAUUUGAACAAACACUGUAUUGUAUACUGAAUAUAGUAACAGAAAUUCACAGUAAUAAACAAAAGAGCAGUUCAUUACCCUAAAAAAAUAUCUGUGAUAAGUAUAAUUAGAAAUGCCUUCCCGGUAUCUGAAAUAUUAUUUAUUAUCUUAUAACCUGUAAAUUUCAGCAAUGCUACCUGCAAAAGGAAGAGGACGAAUAAAAAACGGAAAUACAAUCAAUUUAACAAGACUUAGUGCAGAGUUCUUAGCAGGCAGUUUAAAUCUGAAACAAAAUAAUCUCCAAGAACACAAAUAUGCUUCUUAAGAAAGUAGCUACACCUAUAUAGUAUAUCUUCAUGGGUACUCCAUGAAGUUAAGCUAUAAUUUCAUUGCCAAACUGAUAAAUCAAGCAACAUAGUCUCCAAAGAUCAGCCGGGGUACUCUAUUACUUCUAAGUAACAAAUAAUGAUGACUGGAAUUUAUGUGAACCAACGUGAACUUAAAAUCCUGUGAAUAUUAAUCAUAAAGGUUAAGAUAAUGCUUGGGAGAAGAGUCACAUCGGCCAAGAAUGCUUACAUUUGCAUGGAACUCUUAAAGCUCACCUCUGCAAUCUGCAUAGAAAGUGAUAUAGUUUUCCUACUUUCCUAACAUUAAUUUCUCUGCUUCAUUCCAAUUAGUUAGAUCCAAUAUUUGUUGUACCUUACGUCACCACUCCCAUCCAGACAUCAAAUGUUCUAUAGUCUUGACCUACUAAUACGAUAGAUCUAUUUUGUGUCAGUAUUCAUAUGAUAUUUAUAGCUAUAAUUCUAAGCAGAUAAAAGGCAUCACAACUUCAAAAGUUUGUUGACGCAUUCUGCAAACAAUGAGGAUGCAUAUUCAUCACCCUAACCAAAUAGAUCAUAAACAGACCAAAAAUGACUGCACAUAUAACAAUUGAGAAAAAGGCAAAGAAAAAACAUUCUAGUAGUAGGAACUGACACUCAUAGCUAACAAUGCAAUAACUGCUCAUACUACCAUAUCUGCAAGACAAAUGGAGUUGUUAACUGUAACAUUCCCAGGACAUUCAGUUUUAGGCAACGCUAUUAUGAUCGUAAUGGGAUAAAAUUUUCAUGCAUGAAAGUACACCACAGAAAGAAAGUAAUAGUAGCUCACUUUACUCUGAUUGCUGUAUAAAAGAACGAAUAAUGAGAUCCCGAAUAUCAUAUCUGACCAUAUGUUGGCAAAUGCUUUACGAUUCUCUAGUCUCCAUUCAUCUCUCAGCUCUAACCUGUUGAAGCCAUAAGAAAAGUAAUUUGGAUGAUAUUCGUCAUUGAAACUAAAGUCCAAAAUCUAGUUUAAGAAGAUUAGAACAUAAAGGGAAUUUUCCAAUAUUAUCUCAAAAAAUAAUACUUAGUUUCAACAUUUCUAGUCACAUUACACCAUAAUUAAAAAUGUAAAAUCAUUGACAUAGGUAAAUUUAUUAGCCAUAAGUAAAAAGUGAGAAUACUUGAUGACCUUUUACAAUUAUAACCCUGACAUUUUUCUCAUUGCAUACUAGGGCAUUUGGAUCUCUGAAAUGAGAGUUAUUUUUGUUAUGUAGAUCCAAAAGUCCAAGUGUGCAGUGUACUGAGAAAAAUGUCCAGCUAUAACUUUACACCAUACCAUCAUUCAUAUACAAGAGAACCUUAAUGAAAUAAGUCCAGCUAAAAACAAAAUCUGUUUUCUAAUGACAGGUGCCAUGUGUUUAAAGGUUUUUGGAUUAUUUACAAAAUUAAUUGUAUUCAUUAGAGUUAGGUAUGCUAUGCUUACAUUGUGAUCACUGGGCUAAUUAUAUCCGUGUACUGAUAUAAAUAUCAGCGGCUUCCUCCUCUGUACAAUGAUAUUGCAUUCAUUUUAAUUGAAAAUUCCUUUCCUUCUUUCUUCCUCCCUGCUGUGAUUUCUCUGUCUUUUCACUCUGUGUUACAAGAGUUCAGAUUUUUUCCCCCCCUUUUUUUUUUCCUGCAAGCAUACAUCCAUACAUUUCCCAGCCCUCUACUUUGAACUUCUAAACCCACCAGUUUUGGUCAUACUCUGUACAUUUCUUCUAUAUGUUAAUGCAUCGCCUCCCCUUACCUUGUACCUUGUUGUCAACCCCGGUAUUAGGGCAGGUGCAGUUUCUCUGAAGGACAAUGGUUCGACUAUACUAGUACUCAUGUAGAAUCCCAACUACUCUUUUAUUACUUAAGAUAGAUUAUAACUGUUCUGGGUCAAAUCUUCACUUUUAACUUUUUACCUGAUUUAAAGGCUUUUAGCAGCCUGAAUAAAGCUAUAAUUUAUGGAGGUUUACACAAUGGAACUAGUCAUUGAUGUAAAGAUCAAACUAAUAAUUUCUACAUGUUUGACUGUUUAUAUGGUGACAUGUUCUAGAGUCACAAGCCACAAACUAUACUGCUCAAGUCUUGGCAUGUGUGGCUACUUUUAGCCCUUUUAUAGAAAACUCCAUUCUAAUCUACCCCCUCAUCUCAAUUGUGACUUUGUGAACCUAAUUUAAACUUGGAUAAAGACUAAAAGACUACAACGGUAAAAGACUACAACGGUAAUGUUAUGGAGGCUCUUUCUAGAGGAGUACUAAAGAGCGGGAAUCUUACGCUUUAUGCCGCAACUCCCACCAAACCUCAUCAUCAGAAAGCGGUGGAGAUUUUCCAAUUUCCAUCUCAAGAUGAAAUCUUGCUCCCUCCAUUUUUAAUUCCUCAACCAUUUGAAGCUUUUGAUUUCUUCUGACGUCAAGCAACUGUGCUGCAAGUGGUACGGUCUUCACAUAUCUGUUCGCAAGCAAGUGGGUGCUCCAUUAGUUCAUAAUUUUAGAGGUAAAAGUAAUGGUUAAAAAUGAAGUUAAUACCAGGUCCAAUGCAACAAAAAAUAUGCUGAACUUACAAUCUUUUUCCUUUAGUUUAUACAAGCAUGCAUAAAUAACACACGCAUAAAUAUGUAUAAAUGUAUAACCAACAACCUAACAAUAGUGGUUCAAAACUAAGUUUUUUGACAUAACUACUGAAAUAAGAAACUUGUAAAACAGAACCAACCUACCUACAGAAAAGUUCUUAGUUAAGAAGGUGGAGGUGGAGGAGGAGUAGAAAGGCUGCAUUUAGAGAAGUAUGUGAAAUUCUAUAUUCUACACAGUACACACACAAUCGCACGCAUGCCUUUCUUUAAAAGGUCGUACCCAGUGCACAAGGCUCCCGCUUUACGCAGGGUCUGGGAGAGGUGAAUGUCAGCACGCAUGUCUUUCUUUAAAAGAAGAAAAUUAUUGUAGCCACUUAUUUCAAGAUAUGUUCCUGAUGCAGUCUUCUUUUCUGGCAUCAAUAGGGAUAAGCACAUUAAGGCAAUAUGCCUUAGAAGUUUGUUGAAUAAUUUAGUUAUGCUGCCUUUAGAUGGUGCAACGAAAUGGAGUUAAUAACAAUAUAUAUGGAGAGUAAAAAUUCCAAAGACACAGGAUUGGAUAUUGGUAUUUAAACAUGUUCACUCGGAAAUUAAACAAGGAAACAUUGCACGUGUGUUUAUAUAUCCGAUAAGCAAAAGAGAUAACGCUACCUGUCUAAGAAAGGCAUCAGAACAUAGUCGUGAACCACAAAAUCCAAGGCCCAGGGUAUGAUAAUUAAUACUGCCAAAAAUUUAGCCUGUAAAAAAGGAUGAAUUUGGCUUAGGACAAUCAGUCCUUUAACAAUAAAAAGAAGAUCGCAACAUGUAAUAGCACAAGACUAAUAUUGCUAUAGGAAAAAAAGCGGGCUUACAGAAAAUUACACUAAAACCAUUUGAUCUCAUAAUUUUGUUGCCUGUUGUAAAAAUGUUCCAAGGCAGAAACACCAAUGCAAUAUAUAAAGUUGAAUACUGCAAUUGUUUUGAUAGCUCCUCUAUUAAAGUUAGGAAUGUUUAAUGUUUAGAUUGUUUCUCUUUCAUUCUUUAUACUCUGUUUAUACAUAUUGCGCACUUACGAUCAACGAAUAGCGUUUAACCUUUAGUUUCCACCGGAAUUAGUAAUGCGACUGAACAGUUAACAGCAUGAGUGACGAGUGCAUAAUUAGAUUUUUGGAGUGCGAAUAAUAGUUGGCAAGUAAAAUGCAUAUUGUUGUUGUACUAGUUGUAGUUACCGAAUUGAGUGAGGCGUAGCGAAAAACGCGGUCUUCAUAGAGCAUGUCAUCCUCCUCAUCUUCUUCCUUUCCGAGGACAAAAUCGCUGAGAGAGUAAAUCAAUCCCCUUUCUUGAGCAGGAUCUGACUGCACAGAUGCUUCCCAGGAGGAAGUAGAAGAAUUAGAGUUAGAAUUAGAAUCCGAAAUCCAAUCCUCCCACAUGCGGUUCUCCUCGUUGGUCAUAUCCUGCUGUGCUUCCCUCAACUCCACGAUUGCUUCUGCCCUCGUCUUCCACGCAUCAAAUUUCUCAGCUUCUUCGCAUCUGCUGUUGGCGGCAGCUGGGGAGGAGCCAUCUAACUCCUCUUCCUGCUCCUCCUCCGCCGCCAGCAUGUCGUCCUCCUUCAAACCAAGCCAAUUCCCAUCGUCGUCGAAAAAGAAUGUUUGCCACCAAGUCCUUUUCCUUUUCCUUUUUCCAGAAGCAUUUGGAAUGUGCUCUGCAGCGGCAGACCUCCGCCGCCUUGUAUCAACCACCAGAGGCAGUGGCGUCGACAAAUUUCCGUGGAAAAUGGAGUUGCGGCUGAGCAGAUUGAGCUUGGGGUUAACAAAGAUCAAGCUUUUGCACAAGACGGCGGAGGAGGACAUGAUUAACAUAGUAAGCCCACAUUUUCCAGCUCCUCAAAGCAAAAAUUGAAGAAUUCAAACACGAACAUCAAAACUAGUUGGUGGAUAAAGAGCUUCUUCACUCUUCACACGUUAGGGAGGAAAGUGGAUGACGGUUGGGAACGUUUAGUUGUUCAUUUAUUUUAGGGCUUACAUCGAAAAUGGUUCUUAAAAAUUCAACCACACCUUUAAAACAAUCUCUAAAAUUAAUAAUUGAUAAUUUCUGAAAAUAAGUGUCGCAAAUCAUAAUUAUAUUAAAAAUUAUGUUAUAUGCUGAUAUGGUCUCUAAAAUUCACCUAGACCAUCAAGAUAGUUCUUGAAAUUGAAAAUCAAAUAUUGUAAUCCUAAAAACAAGUGUCUCAACAAUAUGAUCUUUCCGUCACAAUUCUGUAAAAAAUUAUGUUGUGUGCUAAGGUGACACAUGUGACGACCCAUCCCUAAUUUUCCAUGUAAAUUCCUUCCUGAGUAUAUAAAAUGACGUUUAUGCCCUUAUUGGCAAAGUGGAACCUGACGUGGACAUAGUUAUUCGGCUUUUAAUUUAUUUUUCUCAUUAUCAUAACUAAAUAGUACUCGUUGUUACAAAUGCGUGAGCGCAAGUUAGGCCCGAAUUGGAUUUAUAACGAAGAAGUUACGUUUAGUUAAAGUGCGUUAGCAACGCAUAGAAUUGUACAUGUGUGCUACUUAUUUAGUGUAGGAAAUACUAUUUUUGAUAAGGAGACAGAUUUCGUGUACCUUGAAUUAUAAAAAAAUCUUAUCAUUUUCUCCCUUUAAAAAAGGGGUCCCAUAACCCUAUCUCACCACCAAUUAGUCACUCUCUUCAUUUCUCUCACCAACUUCUCUCUCUCUCUUUUGUCCAAUUAUAAAACCUUUCUCUCUCUCUUUCUCUCUCUCUCUCUCUCUCUCUCUCAUCUUCUCUUUCUCUCCUCUUUCACGCCAUGUCUACCCUCUCUACAACAACCAUACACCAUCAUCAAACCUCACAGAUCGAACUUCAUGCUGGAAAUGUGCCCUAAAACCAAUCAUAUGAUGAUACUUUACGAACAUUUCACAUGUUAAACUAAUCUAGUUUAAUAUCAAGGGCAAAAUUAUUGUUUUAAGCCGUCUCAUAUAAGUGUUAUAUGCUUAAACGAUAAGUCCAAGGAAUAUGUAAUUAGGAGAAUGUAAUUUAAACAAGUUAGAUUAAUGAGACCAUUCUCUUUUGUAUACAUAUCCUAAACGUUCCUUAUCAUAGGAUUGCCAAUUGGGCAUUGACAGUCUGUUAAGAUCAGUACAUGCUAUGUCUUCUCUUAGUGAGAGUGACUAGUCUCGAGUCAUUGGUGUGAUUGACACCAAGACAAGCAUGUAGGUGCUCAAUAGCGAAUGAGUCCACUGAACACAAUCAACGAGGAGUUCUCAUACUCAUGUCACAUGAGAACUCAUGGUUGGGAUAAUGCAAAGUAGUCCUUUGACCUGAGGCAUCAUAGUUGUCUUGUGGUUAAGUCCUUGAUCUUUGAUUAUGUCAAAGUCACUCCAUCAGGAGGGUGUCCACGACAUAGUUGGGGUUAAGCCACUUAGCCAUGGAGGCAAGUGAAUGCGUAACAAGGGAUCUCUAACCUUCAAACUGUUUGAGGGAGAAUACUCUAUGAUAUGAUUAAGAAUCUCUGGCCAGAGUAUGAAUGAGAUUUAGGAAGUUGUUCCAAAUCACAUUCAAGGUAAUCAUAUAAGUAAAUGAAUCACAUUGGAUAGUAGACAUGAAUAAACUAUCAAUCCAAACAAUGUGGUCAAGAGUAUUGCAUUAGAGAAAGACCGUAUUGCAUUGUAAUCCUAAAUUGAAUAGGUUCUCCACCUCUUCUGAUUAGCUUGGGUAACCAUGACAUACUGCUAGGUGUCACUCAUGGUUUGUGGAAGCCCUAAACGUGUAUAAUCACUAAAGGGAGAAUUAAAAGUAAGUUUCAAUUCACAAUCGAUUUGAAAGUGUUCUAAUCGCCCAUUGCCUCGCUAAAAGGAACCUAAUGGAUCAUACACCGUGUAAGGCAAAGAUUGAAGAAACAAUGGAGAUGAGUAAGAAUAAUUAAAUGGUUUAAUUAUUUAUGGCAAGGAUUAAUUAAUAUGUUAAUUAAUCAAACAAAUCAAGUUCGUUAAAAGACCACGGGUUAGUUUUGGGCCUCAAGGCCCAAUGGGCUUCGAACGUCAAGCCCAUUGACUUAAGUUGUAUGACAACUUAAUGACAAAUAAUUCACAAAGGCCUUAAAAGCCCAAUGAAACCCUAUGGCCGGCCAUUUAGUUAAAGGAGUGGGUUUUAGACUUAAUUACAAGUUUGCCACUCAAAUGAAUGUAGGUAUAAAUAUGACUUUAUAGCCAAAAUUCAUUUAGGGUUUCUUUUAGAGAAAAGAUGAGAACACAAGCUCUCUUUUCUCUCUAAAGAGGCCGGCCACCCUAGAGGAUUUAGCUAGCAAUCUCACUUCCUCUAGGUCACUCAGUUCUUCAUCAAUCCUUCCUUGGUGUGGAGACUUAGAGGUUCUCUAUUUUGAGAACUUGGAUAAACAUAUUCUUCCAUCCAAAUCCAUGGAUCUAAGAAUUAAGGAAUGAAGGCCCUCUCCUUGGGUGAUUAGCCUUUGCUUAUGCAAAGAGGAAUCUACAAAGGUAUAAAUUUCUCAACUCACUUUGAUUUGAGUUGAGUCUUGGUUCACCAAUCUACUAGGCUUUGAAUUUCAUGGUUAAUGUUUUGUUUUUAAGUGCAUACAAGCAUGAUUCCGCCUUUAAUUGUUAAUUGCAUGCUAUAGAUGUUGCUUAAAUGAACAUGUUUUUCACAAAAUUUCCUUCAAGUGGUAUCAGAGCCUAGGUCUAGUAGUUGGUGAAUCCUUUGGGGUUUUGUAGUUCAUAGUUUUGAUUUAAAUAUUGUAAUAUGUUACAAGCUUUAUUCUUGUUUCUGUGAAUGUAAAUUUUGUUAGAAAAUUUGUCAUCUCAAAUGUUGUAGAUGUAGUUCAUAUGAGCAUGAAUUUUGGAGCUAAAAUUUGGUGCCAUGGUUUUGGGGAUUUUCGGCCAAAUCCAAAGGGUGAUUUUUUGGGUUCAUGUUUGUCUUAUUAAAAGUGUUUUAAGGUGACUUUUGGAACCCCUAAGUACCCUAGGAUGUUAACCCCAUUUUGAGUAGUGAAAAUUUGAGUUUUAUUGCUUGAAAAUGUUCAUGAAACUCUUAUGGGUUUUCAUGGAUGUUCUUCAUUUGUUCUUGAUGUUCUUGCCAAGAACAAAAAGUUUGAUGUUUUGAUUCAAAGUUUUGAUUUAUUUCAUAAAGUCUUUGUUUUGUGUUGGUGGGUGUGACUUAUCUAUCAUCAAAACAUUUAUUGAAAUUUUUGAAAGGUGAUAGAAAUGGUGAUGGGUGUGUAAGAAGUACUUCUCUUACACACACACCACUUGCAUGACUUUAUUCACACCAACCUAUUUCCACUUGCAUGGCUUUAUGACUUAGUUGAAAAAUUUUCAAAAUUUUGAUGGCUUCAUUACUCCAAAAAAUCGGCCACCCUACAAGUGGGAUGCUUUUGGGGCUUUUAUGCAAUUACCUAAAGUUUUGGUACUUUUGUGUAUUUUGUAAUUUGCCCCAAAAGUUUACGUAUUUACGUAAAGGCCGAAAAUCAUUAUAGGACAAAUUGUUUUGUUCCUUUAAUGAAGUUUUUCAAUUUGUUGAAAUUUUUGGGUUCUAGUUGUAAUUACAUGAAGUAAUGGACUUUUGUGUUUUUACAAAAUGAGCUCAAAAGUUUUAGUUUUGCAACAUAGCCCAAAAGGUUGAGGUUAUUGCAUUUUGGCCCAAAUUAGGUUGAGAACAAAAUGGUUUUGUCUCUUUAAAUGAGAAUUGGAUUUUCAUUUCAUUUAGCUCCAUUUAAAUCAAUUUUAUGGAUACAAAAACCAAAUGAAAAUGUUGCAUUCAAGUUUAAUUAGUUAAAGCGUUAAUUAAUUAAAGGGUGACUAUGAACCUAAGCCUAUUAUAAUUGAGCUAUGUGAAAGGCCGUCUCAAAUUUGUUUGAACCAUGGGAAUGUGUAGAUUAGAUUUUGGUUGUAAUUUGAUAUGAUCAAAUGUUGUAAAAGAGCAUAAGCUCAAUAAAACCCUUAUGGCCGGCCAUGUUAGAGAGAAUGGCCUUUUGGUUCUUUAGGUCACUUAUUUGAAGUGACUAUAUAAAGAACUUUAUAGCCUAAAAUUUAUUAAGGGUUUCUUUUAGAGAAAAUUGGUGAGAACUUGUCUCUCCUUUUCUCUCUAGGAGGCCGGCCCCCUUGGAGGGUGGAUCUAGCAAUCCCACUACUCCAAGGUCACUCAUUCCUUCUCCAAUCUCUCCUUGGUGUGGAGACUUAGAGGUUCUCAAUUUUGGGAACUUGGAGAAACCUAUUCUUCCAUCCAAAUCCAUAGAUUUAAGAUGCAAGGAAUGAAGACCCUCUCUUUGGGUGAUUAGCCUUUGCUUAUGCAAAGAGGAAUCUACAAAGGUAUAAAUUUCAACUCACUUUGUUUUUGAGUUGAUUCAUGGUUCACCAAUCUACUAGGCUUUGAAUUUCAUGGGUAAUGUUUUGUUUUUGAGUGCAUGCAAGCAUGAUUCUGAAGGGAAAAUUAUGAGUUUUCAUAUGGGAUUUCGAAAAUGACUAUCAUGCAUAUACAAAUCAAAUUUUAUAUACGAAAAUUGCGGAAAGCAUUUANNNNNNNNNNNNNNNNNNNNNNNNNNNNNNNNNNNNNNNNNNNNNNNNNNNNNNNNNNNNNNNNNNNNNNNNNNNNNNNNNNNNNNNNNNNNNNNNNNNNNNNNNNNNNNNNNNNNNNNNNNNNNNNNNNNNNNNNNNNNNNNNNNNNNNNNNNNNNNNNNNNNNNNNNNNNNNNNNNNNNNNNNNNNNNNNNNNNNNNNNNNNNNNNNNNNNNNNNNNNNNNNNNNNNNNNNNNNNNNNNNNNNNNNNNNNNNNNNNNNNNNNNNNNNNNNNNNNNNNNNNNNNNNNNNNNNNNNNNNNNNNNNNNNNNNNNNNNNNNNNNNNNNNNNNNNNNNNNNNNNNNNNNNNNNNNNNNNNNNNNNNNNNNNNNNNNNNNNNNNNNNNNNNNNNNNNNNNNNNNNNNNNNNNNNNNNNNNNNNNNNNNNNNNNNNNNNNNNNNNNNNNNNNNNNNNNNNNNNNNNNNNNNNNNNNNNNNNNNNNNNNNNNNNNNNNNNNNNNNNUACUUCCUCCUCUUUUCGCGCCAGGCGUCAACGUCUCUGCUGUCAUGCAUUGUUUUACCUUUUUGUCCUUCCUUCGGUGUUUCCCAUAGAUAUUUAUUUAUCGUUGACCAAGACAACUGAGUUGUUUGUUUACUCAAAUUGGGCUUCACUUUAAUACUUGCCGUGAGUGUGGAGCCGAAGUACUAAACCCCUAGAGAUAAAGGCCCAACCAACCCCAAUAAUAUGUUUCAAUUUUCGUAUCAAUUUUCACGCUCGGUUUAUCAAUUCUUGAUUUUCGGACACAAUGAGUUAGCAAUUAUGUGGUUCAAAUUCGUCAUUGAUGAAAAUCAAACCUAAAACCUCUCAAAACAAGAAUAUCACCGGACUGUAAUACUAAAUAAAUAAAGUAAGUAAGAGUUGGUGGAUGUUUUUAAAACUGAUGCCAACUACACAUACUACUAAAGUAAGAAUUGGUCAAGUCAAUGGUUUUCCCUAAUUUUCUUGAGGAAUGAAUGCAUGGUCUUUUAUGGGUUGAGCUAUUAAGAGUAAGUGGGAACGCCAAUACACAGGGGACAACAACUUCUUACUUGGUUUCUUCCCAUUGGAACUUUUUGUUAAGUCGUUAUUAACUCAUUGAUUGUCUCUAAUUCCACCAUUAAGUCUCUUUUUUAGGGACUAACUGAUGGUUUAGUCACGCAGUUCAUUUUUUAAGAGUUAGGAAGAUUCACCGAGACAUUUCACGUUUUCUUAACCACCAAACGUGUGAUUUAUCGUCGCAAAUUAACUCACACUAUUUUGUUAUUAAACGUGUAUUGAAUUGAACGGGGUUAAUUUUGACCAAGCAAGGAAUAUCAAGAGGAAGAAAGUCCAAACCAAGCUAGGCUCCAAAAGCGUUACAUGCACAUAAUUAACACAUUGAAAAAUUCAUGGAGACAUUAUAGUCAACACCACCACCACAUACUAAAACACUCACUUUCAUACUGACAUUUCACACUAUUCGACAGCCCCCCUUCAUUUAAUUAUCUGUCUGCUUUUUGUAUGAUAUUCAUCUAUUUGCCCUCAAAAGCAAAAACCCAAACUCCUCUAGCUACCACCAGGACCACCACCACCACCACCACACCACACCACAUGUCAUCAUCCACUCAAACUAACAAUGGAAACAAUUCAAGGUGGGAGGGGAUCCUGAUGCGGGUACGUGAUUGCCAGAUUAUUUUAGUUUUCGUGUGAUAACAUGCAUGUAUGAUGAGUUUUGAUUUUUAUGAAAAUUAGAGACGUAUAAAGAACUCUCUAACCAAAUAACACAAGUUAUAUUAUAUGGCUGAACUAAUAACGCUCUGUGAUUGUGUCAUAUUACACUAAGAAUAUGUUGUCCUAUAGAUAGAGAGGCAUAGCUCCAACUCUAGUUUGACCGCUUCCUAUCACUUCACUUUGUGCCUUGGUCAUCAACACAAAAUUAAUUUCAUUUUUUUUAAAAGAAAAGUACAAUAUUUCAUUUAUUGAAAAAGGACAUUACAAAUACAUAUCAUGAAGAACUUGGUCCCAAAACGGUCAUUGCAAAGUAGAUCUAAAACUAUUACAACAACCAUCAUCAAUCACAAGCAAUGAGUAGAUAUCAAGCACUAGUAUGCGCUCAUCGAGAACCACAAGAUUAUAUAGAUUAAUAAAAUCGUUAAAUCUCACGUCACACAAAGAUCAUGCAAGAACAAAAAUUUAUCACCGCCUGAUUCCAUAACACUAAGUGGAGUAGAUUCAACGAAUCAAAUAGCUCCAUUCUUACACAAGAUCCAAAAGAGAUGCAACACAACAAAGAAAAUUAAAAUGAAGCAAUCCAAGACAAUUCUUGGAAAUUAUUAAACAAAAACAAAAUAAAAGGAUAACAAUGUCGUUGCCCCAUUUCCUCCGAACAUCUGACAACCAGAUCACUGGACCGACUAAACUUGAUCUCGACACCAUUUGACAUCUUCCAUGGCUUAUGGUUUCAACCUUAUAUCGAAGGUGAUAACUGGAUUCAAAGCUGUAUAUUCACUGUGUGCGUGGGCCAAAAUUCGAUGAUUAUCACGACGACUACUCUACAACAAAACAAAAAAAUUAAAAAGAAAAGAGGAAAGACACUAAGAAUGAUUGUGUAGAAGAUUGAUUACCCCAAAACCAAAGGCGGAGUCCGGCGGCAGAAAAUAUUUUCUUUGUUUACGGCUAGGGCCGAUAAUUAAACCCAUAUUAACGUGCUUAAUUCGGCUGCCAGUUGCUGAAAGCCACAUUUAAAUUUUCUCAACAAAACAAGAGGCCACUUUAUGUCAUGUGUUCCACGAAUCAUGAUUUCCACCCCAAAUCUACACAUAAUAAUAAUCACCUUAAAUUAUAAGGAACUUUAACAAAAAAAUUUCGGUACUAUUCAUUUUAACUAAAAAUCAUAUUUUUACAUUAAAAAGUUAAUUCCGGUACUAUUUAUUUUACCCUUUAUUUUGUUCUUAUCGUUAAAACUCAAAAUUUUCAAAUUUUUUUCAUUGAUUUUCCUUAAAUUAUAUGUUUGAUUUAUUUUUAAUAAUAUAAUUCAGAAGAUAUCGUGCACACAGAUAAAAUAAAAUCCAAUCAAUCUGGAAGCUUGAUAUUUGGUUUGUGGGCGUCCCCAUCUCCGGCAGCCAAAUUAUGGAGUAGUUGGGACACUGUGUAUAUCUUUUGGUGGUGGUUCCAGGAAACAUAUAAAAUAAGUUUUAUAUGACCUUCUGGGAUUUUAUGUUUUUUUUUGUUUUUCUUUUGUUGGCGGUGGAGGAUAAGGUGGUGGGUUCUUUCUUGUUUCCCAAGUCCAACCAUACAAAAAAUAAAUAAGAAAUUAAAUUGGGAAAUUAAACAAUAUAGUGGAAGAGAGUUUUAACCUGUUGGUUGGGCAAACAACUUGACAUUGUGUUCUAAAUUCAUAGUGAUUGUGUCUCUUGUUCUUCGAAUUGUUUAUUUUAAUUUUUAAUGUUUCAUUUGAGUUAGGGUAUUAGAACCACGAAAUGUGUUCUAUCACGAGUUUCAGUUCUCUCAAACCGCUGAGUGCGAUGAAGUGUAGAUUGUAGUUUGAUUAUUCAGCUAUCUCGCGUAAUCUGACUCGCUUAAACCUUAUUUGCCUGUGAUGGUGUCUCUUAUAGCUUGUGCUUAUUAUCUUCAAGAACAAAGAAAAUGCAAGUAAUAUUUAGUAACUCAAAUUUAUUUCAAAAGAUAAGUUCUCGACCGAUGCAAGAUCUCUUAGAGGCUCAGAACUAUUUUGAGUACAUCAAAAUGGUCGGCGACCUCUUUGGAUUCUAUUUUUAGUGGUGACAUAUUUAUAGAAAAGCCAACUUCAUAGCUGAUCCCAUUUACAUCCAUUAAUCACAACGUUGACAAUGUUUGUAGUUGGGAUAGGGCACUUCCUAGUGAAACACGCCGAGCGUUUUUUAUUUCCUAGAAAAAGAAAAACGAAGGGGUUGUUUUCUCAAUUUCUAGGUCCACAAAAAAAUUGUGGCUGUGGCUAAAACUCAUAGAGUCGGCAUUAUUUUCUUCAUCGUCAUCAUGCUUCAAGCUUUAAGCUAGAGAAGGCUGUAAUGCACAUCAAAUGAAAGAGACAAUCAGACAACGUAAUUGGUCCAAAUAUGACACCUACACCUCUACACUCACACAGACAGAUAAUGAGGGGCCAAAAACACAAGUUUUAUGACCAUGCUAAUUUAAAUUUGAAAUACCUUGUUUGGGAAAUAAUUUCCAGACACUGUUUCUACACAAUCUGUUUGCUUUCAUUUUUCAUUCUACUAAUACUUAAUCAAUUCAAAGGCGAAACAUAAUCAACUUGAAUUCGAGACAGCUGUUCAAAAUCUUUGUGAAAGAUUGGAUUUGUUAUCUCAUAUUUUCUUUUUGUGAAAAAAUACCAAUUGAAGUAGAGGGUUUUUUCAAACAACAAAGAGCUGGGUCAACUUCAAUCAAAUGAAGUUGGAGUUUCCCAUCUCUUCUCGAGAAACAAGGUGAGCUAUGCAAAUUUGUACUCAAUUUCAUAUGCGGCAUUUCUGCCAAUAUCUCUUCUUUAGUUUGGGGGGAGAAUAUGCACGAAUCGGACUUUUUGAGAAACAUAUCGAGAGAGAAUUGGUUAAAAUAAUGUGUGGUCGUUAAGCAAGGAUCGGUUUUAACUAAAAGGCGAUUUUUGCUUAUUAUAUGUUUUGUUUAAAGGUCAUAAGUCAUAAUCAAAUUCUACUAGCAUUCAUAAUAAAUGCAUAAUCUAGCACGAAUCAUGCAUGAAUACUACGUGUUACUUGAUACGGAAGCAACCACCAUACCCUAACUACAUUUUGAUUACGAACGAAUGCCUGACCGUGAUUGAAAUGGAUGUUUCUUAUACAUUGAAACUCAACAAAUAAUGCAUAUCCUGAAGAACUCGGCCCUAAAAGGGUAUUAAGAAACUAGAUUUAAAAAUAUUACAAUAAAGCAUUACUAAUCGUAAAAUGAUGAGUAGAUGUCAAGCAAUCGUCCAGGCUCAUCAGAAAAACCGCAAGAUUAUACAGACCAAUAAAACUAUUAAACCUCGUGUUAUACAAAGAUCAUGUGAGAAAAAAAAAAUCCAAUCAUAUAUUGGGACGGGGAGUACAAUGCCCGUGAGUCUAAUUGCAUCACCUGAUCACCGCCACGAUCUCAGCACACCAAGGGAAGUGGAUCCAAAAAAAUCAAACAACUACACCCUCACCAAGUGAAGUAAAUAUUCAUUAAUGAAGAAGAUUUUAUCAAAAGAGUGACACUCAAACACACUCGUUAAUUUUUCAAUGAAGAGUUAUCAUCAACUAGAUUUUCAUUUGGCUCACAUUAAGGGACGAUCCUUUAUAGUUGCAUCUUAAAACUCUUACCAAGAGUGGAUAGGGCAAUUAAUUUGUUUUGAAGCUAACGAAAGAUUUUUCGAUGUGUAGAGAACAUAAUUCGGCGCACAAAAUGCAUAAUAAAAGUGGUUAGACACUUCAAAAAAAAAUAUCUUCAACCACUUAUAUUAUAACAUUUUUUGUACCAGACUAUGUUUCCAGCCCACUAAAAAAUUUCUCCAAUGAGCCAUCUAAAUUCAAAAGCUCCAAAUUAUUACCACUCUGAAAUUAUUAUUUAUGUACCUAUCUCUUUUUCUUUUUUUCUUUUUUCACUUGAAAUGAGUAAUGUAGAACUUAUUUUUCGAAAGAUAAUAACAACUCCAUAUAUUAUUUACAUAAAAAAAAAACAACGUACAAUUAAUUAAAUAUCAUACAAUUGUGCACUUAUGUUAUGCUGUAAGGUAUAUACUAAAUGAAUGAAGCGUUAGAUGUUCCGUUAAAAAGCCAAGAAUUACUUUGUGUAUUGUGCACCAAUGAAGAAAAAAAUCCCUAAAAAAUGAGAAUGUAAAUGGGAUUAUAUGGGAUAUAAAACAAAUUUACUUAUUUUCCUUGUUAAGGAAAAUAUAAAACGAAAUAGAGAGUAAAUUAGCUCCCAUUUACGAGCUUUGCUAAAAGCAGCCCAUUGACCGGACAGCGCAGCACGGUGACGAAACGCGGGGACAGAAAGACGGUAAAUAUUUAUGCGCGUGUGGCCCACGAUUACAGAGAGAGCGUGGGGAGGAGAGCUGUCGGGUAAAAACAAUACUGCUGUCAGAAACCACUCCCAUGUGUUGUAAGAAACGCUGGGCGGGGCUGGUUGCGUGAUUGCCCUCCGCUUCCACUGGACACGCGUAUGAAAUGGACACGUGUUGGAGAGGGAAUGGGCGAGAGGCGGCGCUCGUUUGGUCCAAGCGCGCGAGCGGUUCAAAGGGAGGAUAGAAGCGUGGGCCCAAUUGAAGGAAAGGGAGGCUCUUGCCUUAAUUUACUUAAAAUUUUGAAAAAUAAAAGGAAAGUGAAAAAAGUGAAAAAUAAUCCUAUUCACGCGGCGUGAUGGCAGUUUAUGCCGACAACUUGUUCAACCGGCUAAUGCUGCCCAAACAUGUUACUUGGGCAACUAAGUGCUGGUUUGGAAAAUGUAUUAUUUUUAUGAUCGAAAACGUUUUAUUGUUUAAAAGUAUUUACCAAACGAUUUCAAUCUCGUUCGUGUUAAAUUAUAGAUUAGUAGUUGAUGAGUGUAGGAGUUAUAAAAAAAUAUAUAUUAUAUUUGAUAGUAGAUUAACUAUUUGAACUGUGUUUUUAAUUUGUUAAAUCACAUACAAGUUAUUUCUUUAUUUGUACAGUUUAUGAUCUGUGUAACGUUCAUGUCUAAAAAAUUUACCCAUUCAUAGUUUUCCUAGACGUCUAAUUUUCAUCCAUGUAUCCAAAGUUAUAAAAAAAACGAGCAUCUAAGGAAAAAAAAAAAGUGCAAGUGAUAUCCUUCUCUUGCAACUCUCGGUUUUGAAUAAUAAUUUAUAUAGCUUACUACGGUAAUAUUUCAAUCAAAUAAAGUAAAUAAUUAUAAAAAUAUUUCAGUUAAAUAUCAUUAACAGAAAACGUUACGUAGUCCGGACACAGACAAAUAAAUGGCGAGUGGAGAUGAUGCAGGGAGUGGAGCGUGGGGGAGAUGGGAGGAGAGGAGCACGCACGCAAUCAGAAAGAGUGCAUCCGCAGCCGUUAGAUAAUGAUAAAAAUGAAGGGUGUGCUGUGAUCGCUCGACAACCCACAUGCCACGUAAUACGGGGAACCAAAAUUGUACAAUUACUAAAUUGCCACCAUUGGAGAGCCGCCCCUAACCCCAGCUCAGUCAAAUCGCUUGUUGACUGUGCGCCUCUCUCUCCUCUCUCUUUCUCUCUCUUCGGUUCCUCGCUCAUCCCCUCUAUAUAUAACCACAGCCUGCCCUCCCAUACUCCAUUGCCAUCCCCACACCCAUAUUUUUCUCACUGCAACCAGACACUCUGACCACGCAAACACUACAAGCAAAAAUCGCCACCGUUAAGUUAUGGCGCCGAGAGAGAAGACGGCCACGGCCGUUAGGGUUGAACGGUAACGGAAACGUGAAGGAGGUGCAUUUUAGAGGCGUGAGGAAGAGGGCCGUGGGGAAGGUACGCCGCCGAGAUCAGAGAUCCCGGCAAGAAGAGCCGGGUCUGGCUCGGAACCUUCGACACGGCGGAGGAAGCCGCCCUGGCCUACGACAACGCCGCCAGAGAUUUCCGCGGUGCCAAGGCCAAGACAAACUUCCCUCUCCUUUCGGAAAAUGUUAGCCUG